rnacentral:lncRNA from 1 species
UUUUUUUUUUAUUCUCCUUGAGGCUUUGGGUGGUGAGUUUGAUGCAAUAUCUUAACAGAUACUCGAAGACGAAUCAAGCAGGGAACAAUCGAAGCUUUGAGAAACCCCAAGGUGAAGUCAAGUAAGAUUCAAUACAAUUCAGGGACAUUUUGUUGUGUAAAUCUUCUAUUGUUUACUCUGAGAAGAACCAUGUGAUGUGAAAGAAACAAAGCCAAACUCGCAUGUCGUUACUGCAUAGGUGAAAUAAGUCUAAAGCUUUUUGUUUCUCUUCAAUAUUUUUCAGGUUCGCAAGAAGAUGUCUGACCAUCAACAACCGCACAGGUAGCUUUGUGAACUUAUGAAGUGUAGAUACACCACAUUCAAGUUAGAAGCAUAUAUAAGCUAAGUUUGUCUCUUGCAGUGAUGAAACCAAGGAGAAGAUAAGAGCUUCAGUGAAAAAAGUUUGGGCAGAACGGUCAAGAUCUAAGCAAUUAAAGGAGCAGUUCAUGUCAUCAUGGUCAGAAAACAUUGCAGAAGCUGCAAGAAAAGGUGGAAGUGGUGAAGUAGAACUCGAGUGGGACAGUUACCAAAGACUUAAACAAGAGUUUUCAUCUGAGCAGCUUCAGUUAGCUGAAGAGAAAGCAAAAGCAAAGCAACAAACCAAGAUGAUAGCAAAACAAGCUGCGCAAGCCAGGACUGAGAAGAUGAGGAGAGUUGCAGAAAGAAAGAAAGAACGUGAAGAAAAAGACAGGCGAGAAGGAAAGAUUCGAAAGCCAAGACAGAAGAGGGAGAAUCCAACCAGUGCUUCACGUUCUAAACUGAAGAAGAGACUAACAAAGGUAAAAAGAAAAACUACUACUCCGUUGAUGUCUCUUACAAAACUAGAAAACGACUUGAUGAUUCUUUGGUUUAAAUACAUGACUUUCCAGAUUCGGAAGAAGAAAACAAGUCUUGGUAAAAUCGCUAUUGGAACAGAUAGGGUAGUUUCUGUUGCAGCUAAACUGGAGAAACUGGACCUGGAAGUGAUAAGAAAAGAGAGAACAAGAGGGGACAUCUCACUUGCUGAUCAGAUCCAAGCUGCCAAGAACCAACGAGGAACUGAUGUUUUAUUGAGAUUUGGUCUUUAUGCCAUGAGUUCAAUGGAUUUUGAUUAACUCUCUUCAAUUCUAGUUUUUAGAGCUGUCUCUUUACUUCUUGUGCCACUAAAUACUGAAAUAAAGUGUUCGAAAUAGAUCAAGUGCUACGUUAGUUAGACUUUAACUGUCAGUCUCUCUGUUGCAAAGCAGAGUGACAAACUAAAGAACACUGACAGCAAUAGUUUUAGUUCCGUAUUGAAAAGCUCCUAUACAUGAAAAACCCAAGGCAGUUCAACUACUUAACCAUGGUACUGAUCCCUAUGUUGUUGGGUAAGGCUGCUGCAUUUGUUUCUACCAGCUGAGCUAGUUUUCUAGCACCAGCUACUCUGAAAUAGGUUCUACCACCUCUAGCAUUGUUCCUUAUCCACUGCUCAUAUGAUACUUUGGGUCAUAUGGAACAGCCUUUCCAUUAAUGAAAGGUUCUCCUGAAAAGAGUCAUUCAAGAACCCCAUCAAUAAGACUAAUUAAUCUCUGACGAGAGAUCAAAUAUUGGUGUCACUUGCAAAUUUCAACAAUGCAUAAUUAUAUAUCAAGUGUAAAUUAAUCAACAUACCUCCAUAGUCUUUGUUCUUCUCAUCCAUGUAGGAUCAGGAAGAACCCAUCUAACCUCCAUGUGAAUGAAUAUAUUAUAGGGAAGGUUGAAAAUCAUAUACUGUAUAAGAUCAACCAAAAGCACAAAGCUUUCUCUGGUGAUCUCGAUCGGUAGUGAACAACAAAGGAACUAAUUACUAGAACGAGUCGUAAUUAUAUAUUUGUAUGUCCAAUGAAGCCACCACCCAUGUAUAAAGACUUGAAAAAAUCAAAGAAGCACCCCAUCUUGAGGAUAUAUAUAUGGUGGUAGCCGUACGUGAUAAUUAGAUGCAAAUAAUCACAGCCAUUAGCCCAUUAUAUAACAUUUUAUGUGAAAUUGGAAGAUACAGAUGAAUUUUUUUCUAAUUUAAUUAUCUAUUUCAAAUAUUUGAUGUUCAAGAUUAAUAGUUUGUUAGUAGACUAGAUGAAAUUUUAUUGAUCUACAAUUCCAUGCAUAGCUUUUUAGAAUUGAAAGAUCUUGGAAAAUUUUGAAAAAGUUUCGUAAGAAUAAUAUAUGUUAAACAAAAACUCCUUCUUAUUCUUCUUUUUAGAGAUCUUUUAAUUCGGUUUUAUUCAUCAUAACCUUUUUGAAACCCAAAAACCAAAGAAGCCAAAUUUUCAACCCAAACCGAUCCGAACGUCCACCUAACAACAUACACCUUUCAUAAUAUGUUUAGAUUUAACCAGCUGCAAACAUUUAUUUUCUUUCUUAUUAGUAUCCUAAAAGGCUUAAAUAAUCUAACAAAUUAACACAUUGUGAAAGGUGGAAACCUUAGGAGAUUGUUCCGAGUUUCCCGUACGUGAAACCUCUAAAUGGCAAGCAAAGAAGUCCGAAACACGUUAGUUAAAUUUGCAGGUAAUGCAUAUAACCACCAAACAGGGUUACCUCUCUUUAUUAGAAAAACUAAAAUAAAAUUAGAUAAAACAAGUUCACCAACAAAGCUUAUGCAAAAACAUUUCACAGUCAAUAUUUCAGCUCACCCAAAUUUGAGAUUCUCCAGAAGAAACCAAUCUCUUUCUAACUUACUCUUUUUUUUUAUUUUGCUUUUCUCAAUUCUUAAACCCAAACCCAAUAUAAGAAAGAUACAAAAUAUUUUAAUUUCUUAUAAUCUCUUUUUUUUUUUUUUUACUUUCACCAAAUUUAUUCGAUUGUUUUUUUUUAAAAUAAGAAAACAUGGCUCAUUCCUAUUAAUUCAUCUGAAAAUCAAAUAUUAUUUAAGAAUUAAGAAUUUUUUUUUUUUUUGGUCAUACAAAAUUAGUAUAGCAUAUUAAAGCUUGGAAUUAUAAAUAUCUUUGAUAUAUUUAGACAUAGUCAAAUGCUUUUCGGUUUUCAUGGAAGGGAGACGAGAGAAAGCUAUUAAAGUCUUUAAGCUUUCUGAAUGUUUGAAUAAUAUAAACGAGAGAGGUUCCUUAAGAGUUUGGUGUGUUAGUUCAUCUUCUCUACCAUUUAUUCUUCACUUAAUCUCACUCUUUGCUCAUUUUCUUGAUUACUCUAACUCUCAAAGUUUGAUGCUUUCUUUGCUCCUCUUUCUCUCUUAGAUGGAAUUGCCGGUGAAAGCUCCUAUUCCCGGUGCCCGGAAUAUCUCAUAUAGACUAGAAACCAAUCAUCUAUCUUAUCGGUUAGGCGGAAACACUCCAAAGCUUUCUAAUUUAUGUGGUUUGUUGAAUGACAAGGAAGAAAAAGUUAUUUUGAAGGAUGUUUCUUGCGAUGCAAGAUCCGCAGAGAUCACUGCCAUCGCCGGUCCUAGUGGGGCUGGAAAAACCACGUUGCUGGAGAUUCUCGCUGGAAAAGUUUCUCAUGGGAAAGUUUCAGGUCAGGUGCUUGUCAAUGGUAGGCCUAUGGAUGGUUCUGAGUACAGGAGGGUUUCAGGGUUUGUGCCACAAGAAGAUGCUCUGUUUCCGUUUCUUACUGUGCAAGAAACACUGACAUACAGCGCGCUCCUAAGGCUGAAGACUAAGAGGAAAGAAGCGGCUGCAAAGGUGACGAGGCUGAUUCAAGAACUCGGUCUUGAACAUGUUGCGGAUUCAAGGAUUGGUCAAGGAUCAAGGUCUGGAAUCUCUGGAGGAGAGAGAAGACGGGUUUCCAUUGGAGUUGAACUUGUUCAUGAUCCAAAUGUUAUAUUGAUUGAUGAGCCAACCUCCGGUUUGGAUUCAGCGUCCGCUCUUCAAGUUGUGAUGCUUCUCAAAGAUAUGACGGUUAAACAAGGUAAAACCAUUGUUCUGACGAUUCACCAGCCUGGCUUUCGAAUACUUGAGCAGAUAGACCGGAUAGUGUUGCUCUCUAAUGGGCUGGUUGUUCAAAACGGAUCGGUUAAUAGCCUUCAUCAGAAGAUUAAGUUCUCCGGUCACCAGAUUCCUCGGCGUGUAAAUGUCUUGGAGUAUGCAAUUGAUAUUGCAGGGAGUCUUGAACCGAUCAGAACCCAGAGUUGCAGAGAAAUCUCAUGUUUUGGUCAUAGCAAAACAUGGAAGAGUUGCUAUAUUAAUGCAAGAGGAGAUUUUCAACAAUCUGAUUCUCACAGCAACUCAGUGUUAGAAGAAGUUCAGAUACUUGGGCAAAGAUCUUUCAAGAACAUCUUCAGAACUAAGCAAUUGUUCACAACUAGAGCUUUACAAGCCUCCAUAGCCGGUCUAAUACUCGGUUCGAUUUACUUGAACGUGGGGAAUCAAAAGCAAGAAGCAAAAGUCUUGCGAACAGGGUUCUUUGCCUUUACCCUCACUUUCCUGCUAUCUUCCACAACAGAGGGACUUCCUAUUUUCUUGCAAGACCGGAGAAUCCUAAUGAGAGAGACAUCGAGAAGAGCUUACAGAGUUUUGUCUUACGUUUUAGCAGAUACCCUCAUUUUCAUUCCCUUCCUGUUGAUCAUAAGCAUGCUCUUUGCUACUCCGGUUUAUUGGCUGGUCGGUCUCAGACGAGAGCUAGAUGGGUUCUUCUACUUCUCAUUGGUGAUAUGGAUUGUUCUUCUGAUGUCAAACUCCUUUGUUGCAUGUUUCAGUGCUCUUGUCCCAAACUUCAUAAUGGGGACAUCAGUAAUCUCAGGUCUCAUGGGAUCUUUCUUCCUCUUUUCUGGGUACUUCAUCACAAAGGAGAGGAUCCCGGUUUACUGGGAGUUCAUGCAUUAUCUCAGCCUCUUCAAGUAUCCAUUUGAAUGCCUGAUGAUCAACGAGUAUCGAGGAGAUGUGUUCUUAAAACAACAAGACCUCAAGGAGUCUCAGAAAUGGAGCAAUCUUGGUAUCAUGGCAAGUUUCAUCGUCGGGUACAGAGUCCUAGGAUUCUUCAUCUUAUGGUACAGAUGUUACAGAACAAGAAGGUAGGUUAAUAACAAUGAUCUGCAGAUAUAAUUCAAUUUGUUUUGUAAUUUUAAAAGAACAAUUUACUUUCUUAUAUUCUUUUUUUUGGUCAGCAUUUCUUAUAUUCUAAACUUCGCAAUGUAAAGAAAAAAAAACAUUCUGAUGAACACAGAGUAACCUCAUUUAUUUAUAAGACAUUAUUAAGCAUCAUACUCGUACAAAGCUCACCACAACAAAGGUUCACUCAUUGAUAUUUUGAUACUAAAGCCUUCUUUCUUAUUAAGGUCACUCUUACCUAAGAUACGCAAGAGUUUACACAAGUGUUGCCUUUGCAAGCUGAAGUCCUUUCUCGCGCCCGUAAAACUUUUCUACAAUUGCGAGUGCAAACUCCAAUGAGGUUCCUGGACCCCUGCUCGUUAUGAGAUUGCCGUCAACCAAAACUCUAUGCUCGAUGUGACUCUGGUCCGUCAGUUUGCUGCACAUUGCUGGGAACGCUGUUGCCUUCUUACCCUGUACAAACACCCAUAAACUUGUGACUCUUCCCUUAGUAAUAAGAGUGAGAAUAAUAGGUUGAUUACAGAAUAUUCCAUGGCAUCGGAAAAAUAAUGAUCCUACGCAUCUGAGUCUCUACAAUGUGUAUGCUAUCGUGAUUUCUCUCGUGUUGUUUGUACCUUGAGUAAACCAUGCGGCUCAAAAACCAGAGCAGGAGAGGCACAAAUUGCUCCAUACGGUUUGUUUGAUUCUGCCUGCUUCUUCAACAUACUUACUAGCUUCUCUGAACUUGCAAAUGCUUCAGCACCACCGAGACCACCCUAUGAAGUAAAAGAGAAGUUCAUAUUAUUGGCUGUCAAUAAAUUCAACUUGCUUGACACUAUAAACUUUUGUCAAUUGAAAAGUUAGCACUCACAGGCAACACAAUCAGAUCGUAUGAAUUCUUUUCAGCCUCAUCGAGAAGCACAUCUGCCACUAGCUUGACUUUACGAGAUGCGACAACUUCCAAACUGUUGCCAAGCGCAGCAACAACGACAUCUGCUUUUGCCCGCCUCAGGACAUCAAUGAUAGCAACAGCUUCCAUCUCCUCCGAGCCAUUGGCAAUGGGUACAAGAAUCUGAAAAGGAUAACCAUGAACUCUCAGUGUUGGAAGAUUAAUUAAGACAGACGCACGAGCUCAUCAAAGCAAGUGUGAACAGUUUUUCCAGUCAGGCCUUUUAAAAAGAAAAAAAUAAAUUUGAUAUUCAUUACAUAACCACCUGAUGUCAAAUUAUAUAUAUAUAUCUCUCUCACAUUACAAAUCUAAUCAAUCAUAAAAUAAAAGUCAUCUGCAAAUGUUAAGGGUAUAAAACCCAAGUUUAUAGCCUUAUAGGCAAUUGAAAGUUACCUUUGGGGUACCGUUGGACGACCAGCUGACUUGGUUAAGCUCAGUAAUUGUAUACUCAUCACCAGGGUUGGGACGCAUCACCUGAUAUGCAAAGGGGAGGGAGAAAGACUAAGAGGUUACCAUGGAAUGAAGACUAUGCUACCAAGGAAUGGUUGUGUCUUUGUAGAAAACUAAAUUUUCCUGUAUCCUAUAAGCUUUCAUUUGUCUGUAAUCUCUCAAGAACAGUCAAAUGAUCACUGGACAUGGGGAAGAAUGCUGACCUAGGCUUUAAGGAAAUCAUAAUAUUAGUGAGGUGGAAAAAGUGUUAUUUUUACUUUACAUGAACAGAUGGGGGCUCUGACAAUACUAGGGUGUCUUUUUAAAGAGUAUCAAAUUAAAUAAGUGCUCCCCUCAGUCUAUAAUUUGGAGAUCAAAUUGAGGUUGACAAAAGAGGCAGGGACAAGACAUACUAAGGGGCCUGAGACUUCAACAGCUUUCUCUUUCCCAAGAAGUUGAUCCACAAGCGUGACAGAGAACUCCAUGGUGGUUCCAGGCCCUCUACUGGUCACUAUCUUCCCAUCUAUUUCAACUCUUGACUCAACAGCUGUUGCACAAGUUGCCAGUUUCUCCAUAAAAACCGGGUAACAUGUUGCCUGAAAGGAACAUAUGUUAUGAUCUACAUACCAAAUACAAACUCAAAAGAAAGAAAACAUCUAGAACACUGAUCACUACGUACAUACUUUUUUACCCUCUAGCAGACCCCAAGUACCAAGCGCUAAUGCCGGCGCACAACAGACAGCAGCGUUAAGUCGUCCCUCAGUAUCUUGUUUCUUCACCAUAUUCUCUAAAGGUUUACAGUUCUUAAGAGUCUCACCGCCGGGAAGUCCUCCCUUAACCAAUCAUAAAGAACAUAAGCAACCAAAUUAUGAAGUACUAUAUUGCAAUCAUAUAUGAAAUCGAUACAUCGAAUAAUUGCUUAUAGCAUUUCAAGAAAGAGUAUAACUUUCUUCAAUUGCAUAGCGUUUAGCUUCAAUUCUGCAACCAUAUGCUAAUGUAGGCACAAGAUAGUAAAAAGGGAUCAUCUUGAUGAGAUUGGUGGAGAGAUCAGAGACGUACAGGGAGCAUAAUAAGGUCGAAAACGGAGUCAGUAAUCUCAGAGAGAAGAGUAUCGGCGACCAUCUUGAUUCCAUGGCAUGCAUCAACGCCGACCUGAUUCUCGACAGACGCCACCGUCACAUCCGCCCCGCCUCGACGCAGAACAUCGAUCAUCACCACCGCUUCAAACGGUUCCGUACCAUGCGCAACGGGAAUUAAAACCUAGAGAAACCUCGGAUUAAACAAUGGAGACUAAUAAAUAAAAGGAUCGAUAGGGUUCAUAGUGACGAAAUCGAUUACCUUGUUAGUAGAUGAAGCCAUAGUUGCAGAGAUAGAGAAGGAUCGUCGAUUUGCACGAAGAGAGGUUCGUCUGUAAGAUUGAGAAGAAGAGUGAUGGAGUUUAUUAGUGUUAGAAAAGGGAGUGACAGUGAUUGGGUUAUUAAAAUAGCAAUGAUGACACAACGACGACGCCAUUGACGUUUUUCUUUUCCCCUUUCACUUUGAUGAAAGAGAAGCUGUGAUGAGACGAGCUUUAUCAUGACGUGUCUUAAUCAGAUUGGUUAGAAAGUGACAAUAGCCACUAAUCUUUACACAAUCAUAGAUCAAGACGACGUGUAGUUUGAUUAAGGUGAGAACAACGUCCCGUUUAACAGAUAUGUUCAUGCACUUGUCGCCGUUUUGAUGUUCAUGAUGGUGAGAUGUUGUUUUGUGUUGAUUAAUUUCUUCUUGCUUCUACCUAAAAUUAGAAGAGUUGAGUAGCUUUUGUGUCUUGAGCCUUAGCAUUGAAGCAAUCAUCUAUCAUUAACGAUUUUAAGAUAAUAUAUGAAAAGACAUGAAUGUAUGUCGGAUUUUCAUGAAAAUUUCUAGAGAUCUGUCUUGAAUCAAAUUGUUUUUUUUAAAGAUUUAAAAGAGAUUAAAUUGGGAUAACGUACUCAAUGGCUCAUUUAAGUUUAAUCAAAUCUAUGUUUGAAUCUAAAAAGAGAAAUUCAUAGACAGCAUUGAUGUGAAGUCAUUUAAUAAUCGAUAUAUUUAGUCAAAUUAACGUAGCCUAAUUGGCGUUAAUGUUUAUAAAUGCUUUUUCCGUAACAUUAAAAAUAAAAUAAAAAGUUCAUCUCUAAUUCAAAAAAUUAAUUAAGAACCUAUCUCUAAUUCUCAAUCCUCCAACACAAAACACGUAGUAAAUAUCAUAAUGAACUCAAGUUAGUAUUAGUAUAAAUAUGUGACCGGAUCCGAAAAAUUGGAUCCACCGGAUCGGAGGGAAAAAAAACCAAAAACGCAAACCCGUGACGCCAUUAACGACGGUCGAGCUUGCUUGACGGAGACCAUACAAUGCAUUCUCCUCGUAAACUAUUCCACGCGCGUUCAUCACUCGCCACGCGCCGAUCAACGGCUCUCCUCGUAUUAACUUCCCUAGCUAUCGGGAUCGCCGGUUUCACUUUCGGUCUCGCCGUGAUUCUUUUGCCGGGUCUCCGAUUAACCGGCCGCAAUUGCUUGACGAACAGUCCUCCGAAGACGGUGCGAGUCGUCUGGGACGUCACCGGGAACAGUAACGGCGUUGUUGGUGGCGAAGAGAAAAGGCAUAAGGUUAUGGGAUUCGUUGGUAUUCAAACCGGAUUCGGAUCUGCUGGCCGGAGACGAGCACUUAGGAAGACAUGGAUGCCGUCAGAUCCAGAUGGACUUCGACGGUACUGAUUGAUUUUUUUUAAUUCUCAGUGUCAUUGUUCUUGUGAGUAUCUGUUUGAAUUGAUAGCUUCAGGGGGUAUGUGGAAUCAUAGCAUCACUUAGAAUUGAUUUGAUCUGGAUUUUAAUUAGCAAAUCUUAGAGUUUAAAGAGAUUUAUGUGGAUCUUACUUGAUACAUUGAAGUUAAAGCAUUGAGGAACUUGGUUAUGGUAUUGAUCAGGUGGUGCUGAUUAGUGAACUUUGAUUCCCAAAGUCUCACCAGGUUCAAGAAACUAGAGUUUGAUCAACUUAAUGGAUUCUUGGUUUGCUGUAGUACAUUAAUUCUUGAAUGCUUUCACGAUUUAGAUGGAUAUGCUUGUGUGUUUGCUUUUUCACUGAGUAAGACUCUGCCAUAUGCAGCUUGGAAGAAUCUACGGGAUUAGCCAUCAGGUUUAUGAUAGGGAAAACGAAAAACGAGGAGAAAAUGGCUGAGCUCAGAAGGGAAAUCGCAGAGUAUGAUGACUUUGUACUGCUAGAUAUCGAAGAGGAGUACAGUAAGCUACCUUACAAAACGUUAGUAAAAGUGAUUUGCUUCUUUUCUUUUUUCAGAUCUUAUCUAACACAACAUGAUUCAAAAGAGUCUAAUCUUUGGUUGUUUUAUUUUUUCUUUGUUGAAUAGUUUGGCUUUCUUUAAAGCUGCAUACGCGCUUUAUGAUUCUGAAUUCUAUGUCAAAGCUGACGAUGAUAUAUACUUGAGGCCUGGUGAUUAUCUCUUAUGUUCUUUCAUGUCUUCUGGAGAAAUUUGUUUUUGGGACUUUGUAUGGACUUCUGUAGUUUAAUGUUAUAUUUUCCCACAGAUCGACUCUCUCUGCUAUUGGCGAAAGAGCGGAGUCACUCUCAGACAUACCUAGGAUGCUUGAAAAAGGGUCCAGUUUUCACAGAUCCUAAGCUCAAAUGGUAAGGACGAAAAGUUAAUACACAGAUCUUAACAUGAAGAAGGCAAGUACAAAACUGAGAACUAAUGUAUGCUUGGUGGGAUCAAUAAUUGGAAAAUUGCAGGUAUGAACCAUUGUCUCAUCUGCUGGGAAAAGAGUAUUUUCUUCAUGCUUAUGGCCCGAUUUAUGCUCUCUCUGCUGAUGUGGCAGCAAGUUUGGUUGCCCUCAAGAACAACAGGCAUGUUCUGUUUUGUAUAACUUGACUAAAAGAUCAUAGUGUCUGUUUUGCUUAGUAAAGAAAUAAAACUUUGUGUGCAACUGCAGUUUCAGGAUGUUUAACAACGAGGACGUAACAAUAGGUGCGUGGAUGCUGGCAAUGAAUGUCAACCACGAGAACCAUCACACACUUUGUGAACCAGAAUGCUCGCCUUCCUCUGUUGCUGUUUGGGACAUCCCUAAAUGCUCAGGUUCUGUUUAUAUUUCCUACAGUUUCUAUAGUAGUAAUAUGAUUAACACUUGAGGCGGUUCUGUUUUUCAAUUCAAUAGCAUAACAAACAAAGAAAACCAUUUGAUCAUAAGUUUUGAGGAAUAAAUGUGUAACCGGUGCAGGUCUUUGUAACCCAGAGAAAAGGAUGUUGGAACUUCACAAGCAAGAAAGCUGCUCGAAAAGCCCGACUUUGCCAUCGGAUGAUGAAUGAUAUGUAUAUUAUUUGUGUUAUCACUGAAAUGUCCUUAAAAACCUCUUCUCAGUGCUCGAAGCUCUAUCACUUGCAGAUUAAUUUUUGCAGGCGAACCUGCAACGAGAUUGUUUCACAUAGAUUCAAGUUUAGAGCUCAGUCAAACGAAGAGCUGAACAACAAAAGACAAGAGACAAGAUUCAAUUUUUGCACAUGAACUAAUUUUUUUAAAAAAAAUUGUUAAAAAAAAGUACCUAAUUCGAUUAUUUUCAUAGUAUUUACAAUUUAACUAAAGCGAAACUAACUUAAUCUUUUCUUUUAUGUUAUCAAAUUCAAUAUUAAAACUUUUAAGUCUUAGAACUACUUAACUUCAAAAAUUGUAGUUUUAGUUUUCAUUAAGAAAUGAUAAAUUAAUAUUAAGACAUUUCUUUCUUAAUCUUAAUUUAAUAAUAAAAAUGAGAAUUUUAUAUUUAAAAAAAAAACUAAAGAAUUUCACAAGUGAUUUCAAAAACUAAAGAAUUAUUACUUGAAAAGAUUAAAAUUAGGCGAUGAAAUGGAUAUAAUACCAAACUCUGUUAUUUCAUCGUAUUGCAAUUUAACACUUAAAUAUUUUUUACUAAUCCAAACAUAUAAGAAAAUAUUUAAUCAGUGAGUUAAACUGCAAUACUUAAUUAAUUUGGAGUAUUAUAUAUAUAAUAUUACAUGUGAAAUUAUGUAGUUGUGUUAAAGUGAAAUUAACUUAAAAUUUUUUUUAUCAAAUUGUAGGAUGUUAUCACAUUAUUAUUAACAAAUUUAAGUGUUAAAAUUAUUUUACUUAAAAAAAUGUUGAACAAAUGAUAACAAACCUAAGAACAAAAGCCGAUGCAAUGGAUAGGAUGAUACCAAGAUCGGUUAUUUUUCUAAGUAUUACAAUUUAAGUUUAUUUUAUUAAUCCAAACAUCUAAGAUCAUAUUUAAUUAGUGAGUAAAAUAAUAAUUUAUUUGGAGUAUUUUUUUAUAUAUAUAGUGAUUGUUUAAUUCUUUAGUUUUUCUAAAAGUGAAACUAAGUUAUAAAUAUCUCAACUUUUUGAUAUUCAAUUAAUAUUAAGAAAUUUAAGUAUUAAAGUUAUUUUACUUAAAAAAAAGUUGAACAAAUGAUACCAAACUUACGAACCAAAGGCAAUACAAUGGAUAAGAUACCAAGCUCGGUUAUUUUCCUAGUAUUGCAAUUUAACACUUAAACUUCUUUUAUUAAUCCAAAUAUCAAAGAUCAUAAGUAAUUAGUGAUCAAAAUUUACAAAAAUUGUUUUAUUUGGAAUAUUUAUAUCUAUAGUGGUUGUGAAAUUCUUUAGUUUUUUAAACUUGAAACCAUUUUCAGAUCUAAUGUGUUAAUUAUCUAUAUAAUGAUUGUUUAAUUCUUUAGUUUUUCUAAAAUUUAAACUAAGUUAUAAAUACACUAACUUUUUGAUAUUAAAUUAAUAUUAAGAAAUUUACUUGUUAAAAUAUAUUUACUAGAAAAAAUGUUGAACAAAUGAUACCAAACUUACGAACCAAAGGCAAUGCAAUGGAUAGGAUACCAAGCUCGGUUAUUUUCCUAGUAUUGCAAUUUAACACUUAAACUUCUUUUAUUAAUCCAAACAUCAAAGAUCAUAAUUAAUUAGUGAGUAAAAUUUACAAUAAUUGAUUUAUUUGAAAUAUUUAUAUCUAUAGUGGUUGUGAAAUUCUUUAGUUUUAAAAAAAAAUUGAAACCAUUUUGAAUGUGUUAAUAUAUAUAAUAAUGAUUGCUUAAUUCUUUAGUUUUUCUAAAAGUUAUAAUUAUCUUAACUUUUUGAUAUUAAAUUAAUAAUAAGAAGUUUAAGUGUUAAACUUACUUUACUAGAAAAAAUGUUGAACAAAUGAUACCAAACUUACGAACCAAAGGCAAUGCAAUGGAUAGGAUACCAAACUCGAUUAUUCUCCUAGUAUUGCAAUUUAACACUUAAACUUCUUUUAUUAAUCCAAACAUCAAAGAUCCUAAUUAAUUAGUGAAUGAAAUAUUUACAAUAAUUGAUUUAUUUGAAAUAUUUAUAUCUAUAGUGGUUGUGAAAUUCUUUAGUUUUUUAAAAAAACUUGAAACCAUUUUGAAUGUGUUAUAUAAUGAUUGUUUAAUUCUUUAGUUUUUCUAACUAAAAGUGAAACUAAGUUAUAAUUAUCUUAACUUUUUGAUAUUAAAUUAAUAAUAAGAAGUUUAAGUGUUAAACUUACUUUACUAGAAAAAAUGUUGAACAAAUGAUACCAAACUUACGAACCAAAGACAAUGCAAUGGAUAGGAUACCAAGCUCGAUUAUUCUCCUAGUAUUGCAAUUUAACACUUAAACUUCUUUUAUUAAUCCAAACAUCAAAGAUCAUAAUUAAUUAGGGAGUAAAAUUUGUAAUUUUUAAUUGAUUUAUUUGAAGUAUUAAUAUAUAUAAAUAGUGAUUGUGAAAUUCAUUAGUUUUUUAAAAAAGUGAAACCAUUUUUUGGUUAUCAAAUUAAUAUUAAGAAAUAUAAGUGUUAAAACGUCUUAAACUGAAAGAAAAAAAAAAAAGAGAAUUGAAAGUAAUAGCAAAACUUAUGAACUAAAAAGACAAUGCCAUAGAUCAAAUUUGCAAUUGUGUUUUUUAAAUUAAUAUGGAGAUUUAAUAUCAUGGCAAAUGCAAAUUUGGUGUGAAACUUGCCUGAAUCAAGUAGGACGAAUGAGAAAACCCGAACCAUUCCGCUCGUCCAAAUCCAAAUACAGAGAGACCUGCAAAUUUUCCAUUAGACGCGUAAAUAGACGUUUUCAUUAUAUUACACCAAAAAAAAAAAAAAAAGAGAAACAGACCAAUGACAUGUGUAAAAAGUUAAAGACAUUUACACACGAAUAUUACUAUCACUCAUACAUCCUAAUGUAUACACAUCAUCAUCAUCAUCAUCAUCAUUGUGUUCUCAAAAAAACAGUAUAUAUAGCUGAUGGACAAGUAAUAAAAUUCAAUAAUGGGAGUAGAGAAUUGAAAACCAUUUGCAAAUUAAGUUUGGACUGGAGUACUAUUAUAAAGACAAGAAACUAACCGUACGUACGUAUUCUCUCAAUCUGCCUGCAAUGUCAAAGCUGGGACUGCAAUGUCAAAGCUGGUUCGGAUCAGGUUCGAUGAGUCCAUGAGACAACCCUCUCACCAUAGAACAUAGCUCUUCUCCCAUAUAUUCCACUCCAGCAGCUUCUUCAUCUUACCUACCUAUGAACGAGUUUUUCUAAACAAUCAGUGAAUAACAAAAAAAAAAACCAACAAAAGUGUAAUGGAUUCUGUGAAAACAUAGUAAAAAUAACAAACCUGGAAUUGAUUUAUUCACUAAUCAAAAACUAAAAAGAAGUAUAUCCCCAGAGACGUAGCUGAGAAAUUAAACUAAAAAAGAUGUGGAGUUCUGUCUAUUUCGAGAAAUGAUCUCUCUGUGUUUUUUUUGUAAAAUGUGAUCUUUCUGUGUUGAGUCUGUCUAUUUAAAGGGAGGAGAUUAACUUAUUUAAUUUAAUUUAUCUAAUAUUACCAUGACCGUUGCUGAAAAGUUACCGUUGUUAUGUAGUACUAUUUGUUGUAAGAAAAAAGUAAAACGCUGAGAUAAUUAAUUGAUAUGAUGGGAGGGUUAUAUAGACUUAUAGAUAUUAAAGAUAAAUAAAAAUUAUCAGGUUAGCUUUUUAAAAAGUUACCGUUGUUACGUACUAUUUUAUCAGACAGCUAAUUAUUAGACCAAAAGUAUUAUAGAUUAUACAAUAUUUACAUUUUUGUUUACAAUUCUACCCGGAAAAAAAAAUGGUAAAAUUUGUGCAUAUGAUUUUUGUUUGUAUUGCAAACUUUUAAGCUACUACAUUAAUGAAAUGAUGUAAUGAUUUUUACUUGCAUUGCAGUAGUAUUUUUAGAUUAUGAAGACCAAAAAAAAAAAAAAAGGUAUUUUAUCAGACAACUUCUAGUAUUUUGUUUUGUUUUAUAAUUCGUGUGAAUAAGGAAAAGAGAGUAUUGAGUUGGGUCGGAUUCGGAGAUGGAAACCAAAAUGGGCAUAUGGGUUAGUAAGGCCCAAUCAUUGCUCUUCUUUGUUAUUGGGCGGGCUAUUGGCAAAUGGCAAGCACCAAGCAGGAAAACAAAACAGAGAAGAAGAAGUAAAGAAAUGUUUAGAAAUCGCAUAUAUAACUGUAUUGUAUUUUUACGUGUGACAUUUCAGAAUCCAAGUAGUACUAAAAUUAACAUUUUAUUAUGUUUACAGAGAGGACAAGAUUACAGGAAAAAAAUAUACUCUGUUCUUGUAAUUUGUAAAGUGACGAGUUAAAAUGAAAGUGGAAAGAUUUUGUUGUCAUUAUGUUCCACGUGGGGGGGGUGGCUCGACCUCUGUGUACUAUCUCAUGUGCUCUCAAUCUAAUCUAAUCUAUUCUAUCUAUAGAGAACUUAAUAAGCAUUCAUUAAUGAUUACUGCUUAGAGUCUCCAAAAUCUUUAAUUUUUGUACGAAUUUUUUGAAAAUUCUGUAUAUAUCACAAAAAAAAAAAAAAGGUAUCCGUAGAGUUCAAGCAAGAUUUGAGGGGGGGGGGGGGGGAAGAUAGAAACAUUCUAAUAAGAGUGAGUGACUGAGAAACCAAACAAACCAUUUGGGAUUUAUGAAUUUCCAUCGAUUUCUGCUUUCAAUCUUUAGAUUCCGAUCCUCUUUUGGACGAGAUUAAGUCUCUCAGUUUCACUCCUUUGGAACUUGCUUUUUCCAUUUUUGUUUUUUCCUUCUUUUUUUUUUUAACAUUAUCUUUUUUUCUUUCUCAUGUCCAUUUUUGUGUGAAUAUGUGUGUAAAUCAUGUAGAUUAUUAACAAACAAUAACAUAUCCACUUAUUUUUUUUUUUUAUCCACUUAUUUUAGUUAGUAGUAUAUUUUGGUAUUGGAACUUAGGAAAUUUAGUUUUCUAUUUACGUUUUUAUGCUGUAAUCUAUGAUGUUACACGAUGAUAAAAUUAAUACAAAAUCAACGGAUCUAACUCACAUCCUUAUAGUAAUUUUUUGAAAAUUAUGUUGUUUUGUUAAUUUAUUAAAAAUUUUGUUUAUCGAUAUAUAAAUUGCUCUGAUCAACUAUUUGCGACGAAAAUCGAUACAUAGUUUAGAUACAGUAAUAUUCUCAUUUCUCAAAAAAAAAUUUAUCAUAGUUUAAUUACAUUGUCUCAUUGUUACAUUUGGUUGUACACAAACUUAUAUAAAUGUUUCAUUGUUUAGACGAAGAAAGAAAAAUGAUCGACCUACUUGCUUAAUAAUGUAAUCAAAUAGGUAAAUAUUACAUGGAAACGUGUAAAAUCGGAUGAAUAUAUAUACGUAUCACGCUUUAAUUGGAUUAUGGGACUGUGCCAUGCCAGAGUGUUGCAGCGUAAUCGCAAGAGAUGAUGAUGAUGAUGGUUACCUCUGAGCCACUGACGUCACUUUCUCAAGGACACUAGCGUCAUCUUUGACCAAAUCUACCUUCAUUUCACCAUAAAUUUUUACUAUAUAUAUUCUUCUUCUUCUUUUUUUUUUUAAUAUCAUUGUAACAUUUAUUCAGUUUCUUUCCCAAGUUCUUUUUCUUUCAUCACAUUCGAUUUUUCUAUUUGAGGUAACAUAAAAAUAUAAAAAAUUAUACUGUCGUCUUUGAAUUCUUAACAUGAAAUGAGAAAUAUUUUAUUUAAAGUAACGAACGGUCGGUCAAACUAAAUUCAUUUGAAUGAUAAAUCAUUUACGAUCAUAUUUUACAUUCGAGUUAUUUAAAUCCCAACAAGAUGUUUAUGAUAUAAACCUUGUGAUAGAUGUAACAAGCAGUAUAAAAUAAAAAAAGAUAUGAAAUAAACAUAUCAUACCAAACACGGUACAUGUAUGUAUCUAUAUAUAUCGAUUCAAUCGAACCAGUGUCCCAUCUUGAAGGUUGAUGUACGAUUCAUAUACGGUUUAUAAAGCAUAACAUGACCAAAAGAAUGAAUACACAAUCAUGAUUGAGCUACAUUACAUUGCACUUGACUUGAACCACCUAACGUAACGUAGCCCACCCAACAUCUUAUUCCGCCAAUUUUUUUUUUUUUUUUUUGUCACAUUUCAUUACCAUAAUAGCUAUAGACAAUAGACAAUGUCAAGUUUUGUAGAACACUUGCCAUAUAAAGGAAAUUUUCUUGAGUUGUAUUCAAGAUUCAUAGAACACUUACUCCGAAUACAAAAAUCCAUAAAAGCAUUUGAAUAUGCCCUUUUCUUUUCCCCCAUCCCUAUAAAAGUCGUUAUUAUACUCAUUAAUCCCAAUCAAUCAAUUUAUUUAUAUUUGACGACAGCUUAAUGGGUAAUUAUGUCUAAGACAACUACACAACACCUUCAUUUGCGAAUUGAAUUUUUCGUAGCUAACAAUUAAGAAAUUUUAGUUUUACACGCCAAUGCAUCAACAUUUGUGUUUGUCACCUUUUGAGAAUUAUUGACUCGGAUAGUCCCAAGUUUUGUAGUUAUUAUUAUUAUGAAGCACAUACUUUUUAAAAGUUUCUUUAACCAUGUAACUUGCUUAAAAAGUAACCACUAUGCAGUAUAUAUAUAUUAGCAUAUCUACAAAAAAAUAUACGCAUAUCAAAAAAUGUGGUUCGAAGAAGCAUGUGAAGUAUAACGCAAGAUUUCGGUAUAUAUAUUCUAUGCUUGAAGAAACAAUGUUACGUGAAACACACAAUCAUUAUAAUUUUCUAGGUUACAAAAAUAUUCGAUGCUUCAAUAAAAGUACAAUACUGUUUUAUAUAUAGUCUAUAGAUACCAAAAAACAAAGCAAAAAAAAAAAAGAAUACAGAAAUAAAUAGUAUAGUAUAGUGUAAUGCAAGUGUCGGUAUACCAAACCCACUACUAGUACCACACACCACUCUCCGAGUUAUAUAUAUAAACCGCUCCAUUAUCAUUUAAUCGACACUUUAACUUGGCAUACGUAUAAACGACUCAAACGUUUUGCUUUCUUGUUAAAUAACAAACUCACACACUCACAGAGACACAGAGACACGUACAUCUCUAGCUACUUUAAUAGCCGGAUCUUUGAAUUAGAUAAUAUGACCGGGUUUUACGAUUGGAAUCUCAUAUAAUAUAUCGAAACCUGUUUAUCUAGCUGUUGAGUUGUUACAAAGGCUCUUUAAGUAAAUGCCCCAAAGAGAUGCAUAAAUCUUUGUCGUCAAGUGAUACUAUUAUUAUUAUUGUUUCAUAAAGAGUUUCGAUUCUUAUUUAUCAUUAUGCGUAUUGGAAAGCUCUCUCAUAUAUAGUUACUCUUUUUUUGUUCGUUUAGGAAGUUUUAUGUUAUAGCCAAUUGCAUGCUUCACUAGUUCACUCGGAUGUAACACACACAUGUAAUAAUGUAAGAAGCAAAUAGAGAUACCAGAAGAAGAAAAUAUAGUGAGAAAGAAGCCAAUAGAUAAAGAUAAGUGCAAACUACGAGGUCACUUAUUACAUUUGUUGUUAUUAUUAUUUGGUUUCCCUAUCAUAUACUACCCAAAUCUAUCUUAUAGCUUCUCUACACAUAAAAUAGAAAACAUUAUUACAUCAAAUUAUUGAAUGUGAUUCUCAGUGGCUGGCUGACUUUUGUUAUCGAGUUAGAUACGUAUAGAAUAUAUUUUGACUUUGAAACGUUAAUAAAACUCUUAUUUGAUGUAUCUCGUGUUACUAAUGUGAGAAUUUAAAGAUUUCUUAUUUCUUUUGCAGUUUGUUAUUUACUAGUUUUAACUAAUCGGGCUAUUUUAAUUUACCUACUAUAGUUAGAUGUUGAUACAAUGAAUUGGUUUUUUUUCUUUGGUAUCAAUACAAUGAAUGAAUUAUGAAUUGAUUCAUUUGAUUAAUAAUUAAAGAAAAUGAGUUCGUUAAACCAAAGUAGUAUAUAUAAUAGUACGAGUAAUAAUAUGCAUUUAUUCUCACUUAAUAAGAAAUAAAAAGAAAUGUUUAUGAUAAAAACACACAAAAAUUAUAUUAAAAGUUUUAUUCGACUUAUUCACUUUUUAAUUAUAGCAUGUAGGUAUUAAAUAUACAUAUAUAUAUAUUUUGUUUGACACAACACAAUUUGUAAAGAUGUGAUUGGAUCGUAGACGUCAGUUCCCAUAGAUCCGCGAGUGGCCUCUUUGGCAUGUAUUGUUGUAAGCUCCAAACCAAAGUACAAAGAUAAAUCGAACAGUACCGAAAGAGAAGUAAGCAGAUUUUUCUAAGUAUGAAAAUGUAUAAUAAUUAUUAUUAUUUACAAUAUAUCACAGUUCCUUAUUUCUUUUCUUAAUUUUUCUAUUGUUUGAUAUUCAACGAUUAAAAAAAAGGGUAAGAUUAAACAAAACAAAAGCAAGAAUGAAAACAUGUCUCGUGAAGCAGCAGUUGAACAAGAACUGUUAUUAUUUGCACAACAUUUAUUAUAUUUUUAUUUCCAAAUUUUAAUUUUCUCUCUUUAUUUUUUAUUUAUAGAUUUCAAAUUAACAAAUUUCCUUUAUCUCUAUUACAUGUAUCAACCAUUAAAAAAUCCACAAAAUAUAUUAUUAUUGAAUAUAAUGAGCGAAUUUUUUCUAAUAUAUAAAAAUAAAUUUGUAAACGACAUAUAAUUUAGAACAAAAACAAAUUGUACAAAUGUUUAAUAAAAACUUAAUAAACUAUCUGUAAUUUCUGGUUAUUCAUUUGGAACUUUUUUAUUUGUAGAAUUUUGGUUUUUAGUUUCACCUUUGAAUCAAUUUAUUACAUUAACUUAGCUUUCCAUUUUGUUCUUUGUUAUUAUUAUGUAAACUUUUUUUUUAUUUCUUUGUCAAACAAAAAUGAAUUAAUAAUAACCUUUUGUUUUUGUUAAGUGUAUCUUUUUCAGAAUUAAUAAAUUUGGUUUAAUAUUUCGCUCUGCUUCUCCAUCUUCACUCCUCUUCUUCUGUGAACCUUCUCUCUCUCUCUUCUCUCUCUCUCUUCUCUCUCUCUCUUCUCUCUCUCUCUUCUCUCAGAGCAACUUUCUCUCUCUAAAGGGCACUCACAUUCGUUCUUUGCUUCACCCUUUUUUUAUUUCACGAGAUCCCCUCCUCCCUCCUCUCUCUCUUUCCCCUUCGAUGCCUUUUCGCAGAGUCUCGAAUCCUCUCUUCUCCACUACUCUUCUCCCCCACCGUCUUCUUCUCCAUUAACGACCAUUGCCCACCGGAGUCCAACCCUAAACCCGAUUAGGGUUUUCUUGAAUUCUCACAAAUUUGGUUCCUUUGGAGAAGCUAAAAAUGCCCAAGUCAGUUAAACCCAUUCCUGAAUCUGAGAAGCUCGCCGAUCGUCUCCGUGAUUCAUCACUAUCCUCCGAGAUCAACAAACCUGACUUCCGUGAAUUAGAUCUCGGUUCACCGGUUUCUCCGCUUCGUUCUCAGCCACGUGGACUCACCACUACCACUACUAGUAGUAGCAGUUCUAGCUCCUCCGGAUCUGUUACGGGUCGGGUUAGGAAUGGUCCGGUUCUUAUCGGGAGAUCUAAUUCGGUUCGUAGUCAAUCUGGUUCGUCCAGUGGGAAUACUCUAAGACCGACUCAGUCUAGAUCCGACUCAGCUACUUCUUCUUCUUCGCAUUCUCAGCCACUCGUUUCCUCUGCUACUUCUCCUGCUACUACUUCCCCGGCGGCGAAUGUACUUCCCACCGGAAACAUUUGCCCUUCCGGGAAGAUCCAAAUCACUGGAAUGACCCAAAGCCGUUCGAGAAGCGAUGUUCUUGGAUCUGGUACUGGAACUUAUGGACAUGGAAGCAUAAUGCGAGGCGGAGGAAGCAGUAUAUCUCCGGCGAAACCUGCCUCUAUUGGCGGAGGAUCUCCUACAACUUCGCCGGUUAUUGUCGGUAGCUCUAACAGAAGUAGUCCUGUUGCAGCGGAGAGUUUAUGGAAGAAAGCAAUUUUAGGUUCGGAUUCAGAGGAAGUGAAGAGAGUAGGGAAUGAAAUGUAUAGGAAAGGUUUGUUUAAUGAGGCCUUGAAGUUGUAUGAUAGGGCAAUAGCUUUAUCACCGACUAACGCAGCUUACCGGAGUAAUCGAGCUGCGGCGUUGACGGGGUUGUCUCGAAUUGGCGAAGCUGUUAAGGAAUGUGAAGAUGCUGUGAGAUCGGAUCCUAACUAUGCUAGAGCUCAUCAUCGUUUGGCCUUGUUGCUUAUUAGGUAAAUUGCUUCUCGUGUCUCAUAGCUCACCAAGUGGUUCUUUACUCACUGUAUCAUCAAAAUACGGAAUCUUUAUCUGUGGUGCUUGUUUUUAGUGUUUUUGGUGAUAUGUUUGUGAGAACUUCAAUAUGUGUGUCUUAAUUACUUGGUUGCGUUGCAGAUUAGGUCAGGUUAAUAGUGCAAGGAAGCAUCUUUGUUUUCUAGGGAGACCAUCAGAUCCCAUAGAGUUGCAGAAGCUUGAAGCAGUGGAGAAACAUUUGACCAAAUGCGUAGAUGCGCGAAGACGUGGUGACUGGAAAAAAGUUUUGAUGGAAGUAGAUGCUGCCAUUGUUUCUGGAGCCGAUUUUUCUCCUCAAGUAAGAAUUCUAAUUUUGGGAAGAAUCAUAACGUUAUAUCGUUUUAACUGUUGUAUCUUCUUAUAUCUACAGCUAUUUAUGUGUAAAGUAGAAGCAUUCUUGAAACUUCACCGGCUUGAUGAUGCUCAGUCAAAGCUAUUAGAAGCUCCUAAACUAGAGCCAUUCCCAGUAUCUUGUUCGCAGACGCGGUUUUCUGGUAUGGCUUGUGAAGCUUAUACUUAUUUUGUCAAAGCUCAAAUCGAGAUGGCUUUAGGAAGGUGAGACUAUAGAAACAUUUUCAUAUGCGUUAAAUGAAACUGUUGAAUGCCAUGAAGAAAAAAGAGGUUAAAGAGCAAGUCAUGAAUUCUUGCAGGUUUGAAAAUGCAGCUAUGGCUGCUGAGAAAGCUAGCCAAAUCGAUCCACAAUGCAACGAAGUUGCUAUGUUACACAAUACUGUUACAUUGGUUGCCAGGGCUCGUGCUCGUGGUAACGAUCUCUAUAAAUCAGAAAGAUACACGGAAGCAAGCUCAGCUUAUGCAGAAGGCCUUAGGCUUGAUCCCUGCAAUGCUAUUCUAUAUUGUAACCGGGCAGCUUGUUCCUUUAAACUUGGUAUGUGGGAACGCUCAAUUGAAGAUUGUAACCAAGCACUGCGUUAUCAACCAAGAUAUACAAAGCCUCUUCUCCGUAGGGCUGCCUCUAAUAGCAAGGUACAUAUAAAACCAUUUUUUUUUACUUUGUUUGGCUUGUAAUUUGUUCUACAUUGAUCCCCGAGCUUUCUGUCCAACUCUAGAUGGAAAGAUGGGGAGCAGCAGUGAGUGAUUACGAAGCCUUGAUAAGAGAACUACCUCAUGACAAGGAAGUUGCGGAAUCUUUAUUUCAUGCUCAAGUGGCAUUGAAGAAAUCUCGUGGAGAAGAAGUUUUAAAUAUGGAAUUUGGUGGUGAAGUUGAGGAAAUUUUUAGUCGUGAACAGUACAAAGCUGCCAUGAAUCUACCAGGUAAAAGAUAAUUUCUCUGCUUCUUAAUUUGAUAAUUUUUUCUCGAUUGGAUGGCUGAUCUAACCUAUGAAAUUUUGAUAUGUGAUGUAUACUUAAAUCAAACCCAGGAGUUUCGGUUAUACAUUUCUUGACAGCCUCUGAUCAUCAAUGCAAGCAGAUAUCUCCAUUUGUGGAGUCGCUUUGUACACGUUACCCAUCUAUACACUUCAUGAAGGUAAAGUUACAUGAAAACCUAUCUUGUGGUAUUAAUUGACUGAAAAUGUUUCAUAGCUCCAGGAGAAAAGAUUGACUAUAGAAUCUUCUACCUUUCUGGUUAGGUGGAUAUCGAGAAAUGUCCUUCGAUAGGUAAUGCAGAGAAUGUGAGGGUUGUACCGACAGUGAAGAUAUACAAGAACGGUAGUCGAGUUAAGGAGAUAGUUUGUCCAAGCAGAGAAGUGUUGGAGUACUCAGUGAGACACUAUAGCAGUUAAAAAGUAAAACCUGACAGCUUCAUCUUCAGUCUUCUGCAGCUUCCUCAUUACCCAUUUAAAGAAAAGUCUCAAUAAUCCCACUUAACUUCAGAAGGAAGCUUAAUUAUCAGGGAACCUAUAUUAGUGUAGAGUUUCAGGUCUUAAAGAUUUGUUCAUUCAUUCUCCUCUUCAUUGCCCUGUGAUCUCUGUCUCUGUAUGUUAUGUUUAGUUUUCUUCCCUUCAUUCAUUUAGACUGAGAUUGCAUUGGCUCCUUCUUCUUCUGUUUAGCUUCAAUUGUUUAGGUAUUAUUGAGAGAUGUUUACUUGUUGGAGUGUGUACAUAAGAGAGAAGUUGGGAUGUGAGUGAAGAAAGAAGGGUGCUUACCUAAGGGGCAAUAAAGACAGGAAGAUUUGGAUUCUUCAUUUUAAUUUUUUUUUUUUUUUUAACUUUUAGGGAUAAAUUAGUGAAAUCAAGAAGAAAGUGAACCAUCUUUGUCAUUUUUAAUUCUCCUCCUUUUUAUUUUUCUCAACAUUUUCAUCAAUAAAAAGUUAUAUAUUUUCAUAGAUUCAACUAAGUUUAUUUGAAUACACUUCAAUACCAAAAUCAUACAUAAUUUCAUCUAAAAAAGUGCUGUGAAAAGAGAUGAGUUUACUGAAAUAUUUACCUGUUUUUAUUUUCUUUAUAUUGAAGAGUGUUUAGAAAAAGGGUUUAGGUGAUUGAUUUAAAAAUUGGAUUUAAAUACUAUAGUCGUUGACAUAAACAAAAAAUGGGGAUUCGGAUUUAAUUACAGAUUUUUGAUAUGAUUUUGUGUAAUGAAAGCGAUGGUUUGUUAAUGCUUUCUACUUAUUUGUUAAUUGAUUAAAAAAUAGAAAAAGGAACCAAAUAGUAUUCGUUCGCAUGCCAUUAUAUAACUUCUUUCCUAUUGUUUAAUAAAUUUUUAAAUAAUAAAACGCUUUUUAAAAGGAAAAUAAUAAUAACAAAACGCCCAAAAAAAAUAAAAAAAUAAAGAUUAAAAUAAAGUAAUUAAAAAGUAAUGAACUCUUCUUGAAUAGUUCGUUAGCCGGUGCUAUUCUGCGCCUGCUGAAGUCGGUGCCCUUUAAUUUCUGGUUGUUUGACACCUUUUUUUUCAGUUUACCUCUCUCUUUUUCUUUUUUUAUUAUAUUUUGUGGAUAAUACAUGUUUGGUCGUCUUCGGUAGCCCUGGGCAUAUAAUCCGGAUCCGAAAAAACCGAUCCGAACCGAUCCGAAAAAUCCGAUUUGAAUCGGUUUCGGUUACUAUGUAAAAACCGAUCGGAUUUUAUGUUGAACAUGAUUCGGAUUUCGGAUUUAAACCGAUCCGAACCGAAAUCCGAUCGGUUAUCUGCUAACCCGAAUACACAUGGUCUAAUACAUCACAUAGUAUACAUAUAAUCUCUAUGUUUUUGUACUUCAACGCUCAAACCUCUUUUUUACGUCGGAUUGUUCGGAUUUAGAGUGUAAGUUUCGAAUUUAUAGUGUAGAAUCCGAAUCCGAAACCGAUCCGAAAUAUGAUUCGGUUUAAACUCGGAUUUGUAAUAAAAUUUGAAAACCGAUCCGAAUCCGAAAAAAUCCGAACCGAUCCGAUCCGAAAAUCCGAACGCCCAGGGCUAGUCUUCGGCUUUUAGCUAUUUGAGACUUUGAGUUUGAGUGAUAAUAAUAAUAAAAUGAUUUUUUUUCUGGGAAGGCGCGUGAUGAACGUUCACCGACUUAUUACUCUGACCUAUUUUUGACCCCUGAGAGAGAGAGAGAGAGUGAAAUUAAAACUGAAAGAGAAAAAAAAAAACGUACUUUAUUAUAAAAAAAGAUAAUAAAGUACGUUGGUGAAAAAAACCGGUACACCGUACAUGUACGCUAUAAAUUCUCAUUGAGAGAGAGCCGUUGGGGCGUUACGGGGAAGAGUAACUCAAAAUGCAAGCCGUUUCUAUCUAAAAGACUUACACACCGUGUCGUUUUUCUGCUCACCAUUUUUUCCUUCUUCAACGUCCUCUUUUCGCAAAACAUGUCUGCCGUUUUUUCGGGACCACCAUAUACCAUUACCAUGCUGAGGAAAGACAACAUGUGUGUGUUGUUGUAGUGCACACACAGAUAUGAUUAUCAUAGGGACGUGGAAACAAAAACUGUAACCGGAGAUAAGGCCAAACUGAAGUAGCAUUUGUUUUAUCAAGAACUUUAACCGGAUAAGGCCAGACCCUAACCGAGGUUUUUAUUUUGGGCUCAGUCUACUAGAUUUGAUGAUCAUCUUUAAUUUUAACCAAUUAAAGAAUCCAUAUGUAUAUAGGGGAAGGUGAUUAAGUAAAGAGACAAACAAACAAGAAGAGAUUCUCCUGUUCUGUUUUAUUUAAACUUGAUAAAUUAAAAAAAAAACAGAGCAUGUGUUCAUGAUCUCCAUGGAUUCUUACACGAAACUCAACAACAUUUUUGACGGUGGAUGGAUACAUAAAAUAAACCAGAUUCCCAACCGUCUGAAUUUAUUAUUUUUCAAAUCCGUAGGUUAUAAAAAAAGGAGAGAGACUUGACUGGCGAGAAAGAGGAGGCGGCUGAGGAAUUCGAAGUUGGUUUCAGCAUCUCUUUGAACAUGGGAACUCUAACCAGUGUUCUGAAGACCAGCAGCAAUACCCUUCAUGGUCAAGAUGAGUGUAUCUUCAAGUCCAGGCGCGUACUCGCUCGUCGGGUUUAGCUCUAUGAGUUCUUGUGCUGGUUUGCUCGAUUCCGCAAUCUCCUUGGAUAUGUGAGGUCGCAGUGUCACAUGGUAACUCGGAUCACGGAUUCUCUUCAAUGUGUAAGCUUGGCAUACAUUGAGGGUCGUUAUGUAAGAAUUACGAAGUCUCAGUCUCUGUUUCAAGUAAGGAUCUCCUUCCAGAAGAUCUUUGUGUCCAGCAGUCUGCAGACAGCAAUAGCGACUCAGACAAUUUGUAAAAUUAAGUAAAGAAGAAAGAAAAUUCAUGACUUUUUUACCUGCAGGACGAGUUUCUUGGUUUCUUCGAAAUUAGCCCUGAGUUUCUCACCAAAAGGCCAUAGUUCUUCCGAAACAAGAAGCUUAUCGUACAAAGCAGCAAUACCUGGAUCUCCUUUAGCGAACACCAUUUCAAUUAGAUCAAUCGUGACUCUAAAGAAAGGCCAGUGUUUGUACAUAUCCUGGAGCAUAUGGAGGUUCUUGACAUCCUUUUCGAUCACGUGCCUAAUCGCUGAUCCGAAUCCAAGCCAUACAGGAAGAUGGAAUCUUGUCUGAGUCCAAGCAAAGAUCCACGGAAUCGCACGAAGGGAUUCAAUCCCACCGCUUGGUUUCCGCUUAGCAGGUCUGCUUCCGAUGUUCAUACGACCAUACUCCAGUUCUGGUGUAGCCUGCAACCGAUUUUAAGAUUCCGUGAGUUUUGGGACUCUGUGGGGUAAGAAAGUUAAAAGAUUCUGAGUGAAUUAAAUACUUACGAGGCGGAAGUACUCGACAAACCGAGGUUCUUGAAACACAACAGAACGAUACUCCUCGGUCGCAACAACUGCCAUCUCAUCGAGCAAAGCGCGCCAUUCCAGUUUAGGCGAAAUUGGAGGACACAUACCGUGCUCGAGUGUAGCAGCGGUGAAACGCUGAAGCGUUCUAAAGCAUAAAUGCUCUUCACCAAACGAUUGCUCGAUGACUUCACCUUGAACCGUGACACGGAAUGAACCGUUAAUAGUAUCCGGAGGCUGAGACAAAAUAGCAAGAUGGGUUGGUCCGCCUCCUCUUCCAACCGUGCCACCACGACCAUGAAACAUUGUUAGCUUCACACCAUACUCUUUAGCAACCUUCACAAGCUCUUCUUGAGCUUUGUAUAACUGCCAAGCAGCGGACAAACGUCCAGCGUCUUUCCCUGAAUCCGAAUAACCAAUCAUAACCUCUUGCUUACCGUUUAUCCGGUUCUUAUACCAGUCAACAGAAAAGAGCCUAGCAACUGCUGCAGGAGCUGCUUCAAGAUCCGCUAGCUUCUCAAAGAGCGGAACAACUCUCAAAGGCUGUUUAACACGGCAUUCACGCUGUAAAAGCUCAACAGCUAAUACAUCAGAAGGUGCAGUUGCCAUAGAGAUAAUGUAAGCACCGAAGCUGUCUGCUGGUAGCUCGGAUAUGACAUGAAACGUGUCGAGAACAUCAGCGAUUUCUUCAGUUUUAGGAAGAUCAGAACCGAAAAGCGGACGUUUGCCACUUAGCUCAGAUAAAAGCCAUUCUUGGCGGCGUUCUUCAGACCAGUCUCUGUAGGAUCCGAUAUCUAAAUGUGUGGUGAUGGCAUCCAAUACAUCGGUGUGGCGGUCAGAUUCUUGCCUUAUGUCAAGUCUCACAAGAGAGAGCCCAAAGGUUGAGACUUGCCUCAAGAAAUCAAGAAGGCUUCCAUCUGCUAUUGGACGGUCACCACAUGAACACAGAGAUCGAUAACAGAGCUCAAGAGGUUCCAAGAACUACAUAAAUAGCACGAGAGAGCGGUUUAGUACCAAAUCAUAACAGAGAGUCAAAGGAUUCUAAUUGCAAAGAUACCUGUUCCAAAUUAACGAAAGUAGCCUCUUCGGGGACAUCAGAGUGGCCAUUGCUGAGCAAUUGAUGCGCGCGUUCACGUGUGUGAUAAAGCUUGUCCCUUACAUCGCCAAGAAUCACACGGUAUGGCUCAGUUGUAGGAAUUGACUUCCAGAAUUCUGCAAUCAAGACAAUGAAUGAAAGGUUCCAAAUUAAAUUGGUUCUGGACACACAGCUUAGGCAUAAAACCGGUUCCCUUUCUUACCUAUGUAAUGUUUUGCAGCAUCUUUCCUCGAAUUUGCGUGAACUUCAUCAGCUCGCACACGCAGCUCGUCAUUGCAACGCCACAUAGACAUCUACAAAAGAAGCAGUAAAAAUGAAAUGGGGAUACAAUGACAUAUACACAAAGAAGAUGAGGAGACAAAGCUGAAAAAAAAUCUCCGGAUCAAACCUCAAACAUAAGAUCUUCGAUUUGGUUAAAGUACAUAGUAGCAGCCAUCAUUCUAGCUAACAAGCAAACAUCUCUAGUGACUUCAGGUGUAACCCUGGGGUUACCUGCAAACACAUAUACAUUGUGAGCCAUUUAGAGAGGGGGGGAAAUAAGAGAGGUAUGCGAGAAGGACUUAUAGAAAUGUACCGUCACGAUCACCACCCAUCCACGAAGAGAAUUGAAUCAAUGGAGCAUUAUAUGGAACACGUUCUUCGAUCCCUAUGUUUUUCAAAGCUGUGUCUACACGGCGCAGAAACUUAGGAACACCUUUCCAGAUAGUUUCAUGGAAAUAACUCAUUCCUGCUCUCAUCUCAUCUUGAGGAGUAGGUGGUGUUCUUUUGAUUUCAUCUGUUCGGAAUGCUGCUUGAAUCUAAAAAAUUCGCAAAAUGUUUCCGUUACAUUUGAGAAAUGAAUUCAAAUCAAGUAAAUAGGAAGAAGCUCUUUUACCUCUCUCUGUAGAGCCUCAUCAAGCUCUUGCUUGUCAUCAGGAGUAAUAUCCUUAGCAUAUAGUUGCGCUAGACAGUCUCUUAUCCUGAGAAAAAAAAACGCAUAAAGAAGAUGACUUUAAAAUCAAAGCUUUAAUCCAAAAAAGGCCCGAUUUGGUCUAAAUGAACUAACCUCCCAUGUUUCUGAAGCAAUGAUCUUCUCACAGACUGAGUAGGAUGAGCAGUCAAAACCAAAUCCACAGUCUGAUUCUUCAGAGCGUCAAAGAUCUCUUCAGGAGACUUAUUCAGAUCUCCAACAAGCUUUUUGAAAGUUUCUUCAAGAUCAGAUUCAGUAGUGGCAGAGCUCUCAUCAACAAAGUCACCUUUCUUCAGCUUCUUGACCCUACGACGAUAAGCAAUCUGCACUUCCUCAGCCAAAUUGGCUAAGUUAAGCAUGUGAGAGAAAGCUUUAGAGAUAACAAUGGAGUCUCCUGGAUCUAAGCUCGUCAGAACAUUCCCUAGCUCCUCUAGCUUCUUGGGUUCAUGUUUCCCUUCAUAUUCUGCAGAAUGCUCAUAAAGCUCUUGCACCUAUACACAACAAACACAACAGACAAUAAGAUCAAACUUAGCCAGCAAAAGUUUAAAUCUUUCAUUCCAAAAGGUCAAUUGCAGAGCACAUGAAACUACAAAUCUCUAAACUGACAAAAAGUUUAAAUCUUUCUCUUCGUUCAAAGCCCUAAUCAACCCAUGAUCGAAUCAAAAAGCUAAAACCUUUAUCAAAAGAUAUCACAGGAUCUUCUAAGCAAAUGGGUCAAGUCCAAAAUCGAGAAGAAAACGUACAGUUUCACGGAGAUCUUCACCGUGCAAAUCCUGGAGAAUAUCGAGAAAUCGAUCUAAUAGCAAAGCAUCAUACUCAACAAGCUUGUCGUCUUCACUGACUUUACCAGGAACCAGUUGACGAAGAUGAACAUCAAUCGAUGCCAUCUUCUCUAACUUCCGAUUCGCCAUUUCUUUUUCACCGACUUCACUCUGAAAGAAGAGAACAAACAAAAGGAAGAAAAAAUCAAAUCAAAAGUCAAAAGGUCGAUCUGUAGACAAAAUUUGACUGAGAGAUUACGCCAAUGAAAUCGGAGACAAACAAAUAAAAAUCGAAACUUUAGAGUCAAUAGAGACAGACCCAGAUGAGAAAAAGUUGCAGAUUGUGCGGAGGGAAUCUAACAAGUGUGAGAGAGUGUUGAGAAGCUAACCAGUUUAGAGCAGAAAAAAAGGAGUGCCCUUUGUGAAGUCAGUCAGUCAGAUUCAGAUUUCAGAGAUAUAUGCAAAACGAGAUACUCUGCUUACGUUUAUAUAGAGAGAGUGAUCAUGAUGAUUCCUAUCCAUUAUUUUAUUUCUAUGUGAUGCUCCUCGCUUCUACUUGAUUUUUUUUUUUUUAACCUUUUUCUAUAUUCUUUUUCCUUAUUUUUAAUAUAUUUGUUUAUGCAGUUUGAACUUUGAAGUAGUUUUUACUUUUUAUUUAUUUAUAUACAAAAAUAUAAUAUUGUAUUCUAGUCGAAAACAUUAAUAUUGUAUAUGGUUUCCUAUCUUUUUAUUUGAUGUUCGUCUUAUAGUUGAAUUUUUAAUUCGUAUUCUUUUUCUUAAAUUCAUUGAAAUAGUUUCUAAAAAUAGAAUAUUCAAUUCUAAUGAAUAAGUGAUAAAAAAAUAUGAGACUUCACCUAAUCACAUUUUGGAAAUUACCACAUUCGUAUUUGUUUUAUACUCUCUCUGUUCUACGAUAUAUAAUUUUUUAACCUUAAUAUUUUUCCAAACUAAAUGGUUUUUUCACAAAUCUAUACAAAGUUAAUUAGAAUUUUAUUAGUUUUAACAAUUUAUAUUAUACAAAUUAAAUUUUAUUGGUUGAAUUAUACUUAUAUAAGCAUUAAAUGAUGUUUUUAUUUAAAAGUAAGCAAAAAUUCAGUGAUUUGUUAGGCUUUAAUUGGUUGUGUCUUUAGAAUCUUUCCACAAUCAAAUUUUGGUGUACAACACUAAAUCUAAAGCAAUCAAAAUUUUUAAUCGUUUAGAAAAUUUUGAUUUACUUUUUUGAUUCACAACCAUAAUAUUUUCAUAAUAUUUUUGGCGGUACAAAGCAUAUUUUCUUAAAACACAUAUUUUUCAGCUUUUCAAAAUUUGAGUUUUUAUAGCCAAAACACUAUAACAAUAAAAUCUACAGCUACAAGAAAUGAAUUUACAAUUAAAAAAAUCUACAGCCGUAAUCAUUUAGACUUUUAAUUUAUGUACAUUUUGCUUAAAAAAUCAUCUAUUCUAAAAUGGAGAGAGUAAAAUUUUAUACUCGUAGUUAACAAAAAUAAUAUUUACGUAAAAUUGCAUUUUUAAAGUGUUGCAAAUUACCGAUGAGAUUAUUUAUGUUGGUUUAGUUUCCAUUUUCCAAUGCGGAUCAUGAUUCAGGAUUAGUAUUCUAUACAAUAUACUUUUUCUAAAAUUAUCAAAAAGAUAGAGAAAAGAAAAGGAAUUGUUCUAUCUCAAAUUCACGCGAGUGAGUGUAGAGAAGCGCAUGUGUCAUGCACAGAGAUUGAUGAAAUCUCUGAACUUUGAACCUAAUUGGCACUUUUUGUGAUCAAGUUGACAAUUUCUUUCUUUCUUUUUUCUUUUUGUGGAUUUAAGUAUUUAACCGACCAAUCUAUUUACUUUCAAUUUGUUAACAUUACUGGCUUUCUUAAAAAUCGAAGAUAGCGAUUGAAUAUAAAACUUAAAUCCGUAAUCCCAUUACUUUAUUUCACAUAGCUGAUUUUAUUAUUAACAUAGUAGAUGAUUUUUUUUUUUUUGGUGUCAUGAAAGCUAUAACCUUCAUACAUUCGUGUCAUGUAAUGAUUUGACCAAAUAAAAAGAUGAAUGAUAAUAAUACUCUUGUGAACGACGAAAAAGUUUUUAAGUAAAAAAGCUUUAUGUCUGUGAUGCGAUCACUAGCUAGAUCAUGCCAUGUUCAUUAUAGUAUUCUAAUUACUCUUAAUUAGUCUAAUUAUUGUUUGCUUAUUAUGCUAAGUGACAAAGUCGUACAUGGCUUGUGGCGUCACAUUAUGAAUAUAUGUAUAUAUAUUUUGUGCCGGUCGACUUCAAUUAUUCAAAGAAAUUUGGAUCUUUCUUCCUAUGUGCUAUUGGAAUAUUCGAAUAAUUUGGUAUGUCUCUCUAUCCACCUAAUUAAGUCAACACUCGAACCGGCAUGAGUGAUAAGAUAGUCUAAUUUGCUCGAAUAUUAAUUAGGUAUUCACUUUUCUUUAAUCUAUUGCAUAAUUUAUUCAUUUAUGCGGAUACUUACAUAUAUUUUGUUUGGUUUUCACCAUCACAUAAAAUUCCUUUGGAAUAUACUUAUCUUUUUAAGAUAUUGAUGUCUUCGGAACAUGAUAAAAACUAAUUUUAUUCACAGAAAGAAAACCAAAACCAAAUACUAAAAAACAAUAAAAAAAAAGUCCAAAAACUAAAAACCAAUAAUUAAGAAACUGCUGCCAUGCAUCCAAAUUAAAGCCUUAAUUCUAUCAAAUAUAUAUGAAUAAGAAGCUUCGAUUACAGUUGGAAACGCAUCAUGCAUGCAUGUAUAUAUACAAUGAAUCUAUAUAGCACAUUUUGUUUGCGUGUUUGAAUUUACAUUUUCUGAAAUGGGAAUUAUAAACACGGCUUACGUACACUCUUUAGCAAGCUUAUCAAGAUAGUUUACUUUUAGUAUUAUAGAAACUAUAAUUAAUGCUUGAUACUUUAUUUUUUGUAAGAAUAAUGCUGAAUUAUAAUGAUAAAAACUGACUAUAAGGGAAUAGGGAUGAUAAUGGUUAGCUGAUAAUUUGGUUGACGUAUAAGAUGAUAAUUAAAGUCCAUUAUCAGGAAGAAGAAGAAUUUGAGUUUUGGGGAGAAAGGACAAAGUGUGAAAACUUUUUUUUGUACUUAUUGUUAGUUUGACGGCACCCUUUAAGACACUUUGAUGAAGUGGUAGUGGGAUGCUUCUUCACGGAAGCAAUAUUAUUUGCAUGGUACGUCGUGAGUCGUGACUCGUGGUGCCUUAUGACAUACUUCCGACUCAACUAAAAGAUGUAUAGUUGAGUACUUGAGUUUACUAUAGCUUGGGAGAGUAUCGUGAUUAAUGCCGUACGUUUUUUAAAGCUUUUGAGCACAUUAAAUCUUUUCUAAGACUAUUGUAUAUCUUGGAUUUUAAGCUUUUCUUUUCUCUAGAUAUCCUUCAUUCUUUUCUAAUGAGCCUUCACGUGAUUGAUUAUCAUAACAAUGUGGCGAUGGAGUUAAAAUAAAAGUUGUGAUGGUCAGCUGUGAAAAUAAGAGCCUAGUUUAAAAAAUGAAUUCCAAACGGUAAAUUUGGAAAAACAAAGAGCAACCCUUAUUACUAAUCUAUCCUUAAUUAAGACCAACGCAUAAGAAAGUACUGUGUUCCAUACCAUUAAUAGUAAGCUUAGUUACUAUAAGGAAGGAGGGAUCCAGUUUGUAAACAAACGAACAUAUAACCGAAAAGAAAAUAUAUAAAAUUAUAAAGAUAUAAAAAAGUAAAUAUAUGAGAUGGCUACAUCGAAAGGAUUUGCAGUAUGUUUGGUCUUGACGAUCCUCGUAACUGUUGUCUUAUUUGUUGGAGUCAAUUCCAUUGAUAUGUUCAAGUGUAGAAACUUUGAUCCUAUCGGAGGAAUCCCUCAAGACUGCAUGCAGUUAGAGAUGAUGUAUAUAUAUGAGCAAUGUAUAAAUUAAAACUAUGACCAAUGAAUAAUAAGACGAUCACCUGUAUUUGUGGAAAUCUACAUAGAAACUAUAUAUGAUCAUAUGAUUCUAUGAGAUUAAAUAAUAAUGACUUCGAUUUAAUUAUAUAGUCCAUGACUUAUUUUAUGUUAGUGUUUCUUUUUUUUCUCCUUCAUACGUACUAUUAUAUUAGAUUGCUUGUAAAGUCGCUAUGAUCCGCAUUUGAUAAUACAAGAGGAACCCAUGAAUGAAAAAUAAAUGAUUAAUUGUUAGCUAAGAUAUCAGAAGGAACAAAACAAUCCCUUUUCACCCAAGAAACCCUUUGCACUCUGCAAACUUAAUUAAGACAUCCAGCUUUGGAACUCUCUUCCCAAUUUAUGUUAGUGUUUUUGCAUCAAAGUGACAAUAGUGUUGAAACCUGCAUCCGUUGAAUAUUUUUUAUUUUAGAUAAAAACAAAUCGUUUUAUAAAUUCAUCAUUAGAUAAUAAUAGUAAGAUUUUUUUUAUCAAACUAUAAAAGGAAAAAUUUAUAUUUGUUGUAACAUUAUGAUAAUUAUUUAUGAAAAACGUGUGUAUAAAAUUAGAUAAUAUAACUAUUGCAAUUUUUAUUCAUAAAAAUCAGUAUUCUUAACAACAACAAAAAACCAAGAAAAAGAACAUUAUUAUUGCUUGAAAUAGUCCUUUGCUUUUGUUGUUUCUUGGAAAAGAGCUACUUGCAUGCCGAGGUCCUGAUACUUGUAUGAACUCAAUUAGUUGACCAAAAUGAGCCUAAUUGUCAUAUCACAAGUGACAAGAAUGUCGAUUCCCAAACUUACUGGAAAUGAAACACUCUUUAGCCAAGUUGCAUAGAUUAAGUAGAUACUGCCACAUAGAGUUGACGCAAAAACUAGAUCAACUUAGUCAACCACGAGACGAUCGAACAUGCUCAAAUUCCAAACAAAACAUGUCUACGUCAAGAAGUUCCAAUUCUUAUUUUUCUUUUCAACCGAACAUUAAUUAGAAAACUACUCUUAACUACAAAGGAAUUAUCAAGAAAAAAAAGAGUACGAGAAAACAAAGGACACUUUGUUCUAUAGAAGCAUUAUUCGUUCGUUGUUAGUUGUAGCUUUGAACAGAGAAAACAACUGCGAUAAUGAUAACAAAAAGCACAUUAAUAUUUAAGAGAUACACUUUUGAUUUUGGGUUUACAAAUUACAGUUUUGUUUAUUACAUAAGUAAUAAUUUAUGUGCUUCUCCUUCCACAUACCUUGCGUUUACACUUACAACAUGAUUACAACAAAAACAUUACAACAUUCUGCAGAGACCUUCGCUUUUUUUUUUAAAUACUUUUUUUUUUUACGUGUGUUGCCUUUUGCUGGGUUUUAUCACUCACUCGCAGGCAAGUUUAGUGCCGAAACUUGUGAGACAGAUAGCAAAAGCCUGAAAUGCAGAGAGAGGCUGUCUAUAAUCCAUAGUGAAAGUGUCAUCUCCCACUUUACCAAACUGUAGAAGAACUGUUUCUUCAUCUCCUUUACCGCUCGGUUGACUUUGGUCCACUGUCGCAACCAGCUGGAAGUUCUUCACUGACGCAACGGUUACUCGUCCAUGGAAGUUUAGACACCAGCAUUGCAAGUGCUCGUGCCAUCGCGGAGCUUUGUUCUUUAGUAUUGUGAAGCUGGAACCAUCCUUGUUGUGUUUUUUCAUUAUUUUGGUUACAUCACAUGGCUUUUGGUCCAAACAGAGUCCAGCCGAUGAUGAUGAUGAUGACAACGAUGAGGAUGGGCAUCGGAGUGUGCUUACCAUUCUUCUUGGACCUCUUGAUUUCAAGAGGUUGAAUUUAUAAGAAACAUGACCGACCUCAAAGUUGCCUGCUGGAACUUGAGGGCUUAUCUGCUUCGAUGCAAAUCUGCGACUGGCUUUACCGUUUGAAGGCUUCGCUCCGUUAUGUGGCGGUUGGCUAUCGUAUACUGUAAAGUUUGUCCCAAGAAAAUCUGAUCUGCAGAAGUUUCCCAAAAAAAGAAUGUACCUUAAAUUUCAGGCCACUCAUCAUAUUCGAAGCAUAAAAAACACCAAACUCCUUAAAGAGACUCAAGAUUUCAGUUCCAAGGGUGGAAAAACAAAAUUUGAAACUUCUGAGAAGUCAAUUUUGGUUUAAGAGACACAAGAUUUCAGUUCCACGGGUGGCAAAAACAAAUUCUGAACUUCAGAAAAGUUGAUCUUGCUUUAUAGAUUAAAUGACUGCCAAGGAUAUUCAGGUUGAUUGAUGAUACCUUAAUUUUCCAACGUAGGCAUUACUUCCCUGAGAGAAAUCAUCAGCGUCGAGUGAAACGAUGUACUCAGUGUAAGCACCAGUCCUGAACCUUCGUGCCGCCAGAAGAAACUUUCCUUUAUCAGUGAAUGCUGGUAAACAGAGAAUACUAAAGAAAAUUAAUAAAUGCAGAGAAAGACCCUUUUGCUAGACAAGAGCAAAGAUGGAAAGAUAAUCUAGCCCAAUUAUAACCAACAUUUUGAAGCCAAGAAAGAAUCUUGACGGAUAAUUUAAUGAAGUAUAAUAAAAAAUUACUUGAACUUGUUCCAAAACAACAAAAAGCAAUCUGCUCUUAACUAAAAAUAUAACUCAAAAUAUUAUUCAGUGAAGCCUUGCAAAUUGCAUCUCAGGUCAACUCCUAUAUAAGACUGAACCUCGGACUAUUCUUCAUCAUCAGCCAGGUCAACAAGAAAGUCAACACUUUAUUUAUGGCAAUUGGUUGGUAAGUUCUUUUAAAUGACCACUCAAGGCAUUCCAUAUGUGGCGAAUGACUGAGACAACUUACAUUGUCCGCCUAAGAAGUCACUAAUUCCAAUCGUUUUCACACUUAAAACAUACCUAGACUUUUCAUGCCACAUAUAGUUUUCCAAUAUUGACUGAAUCAACCGGUUUCAACAAUAAGAAUCAUACUAAGGAAAAGUAAUAUUUUUUUUUUCUUUGGGAAAUUACUUACAUGGAGUUAGAGCAAGAUACAAGUAAAAAGUUGAUGUCUUCUUGUUCCUCUUUAUCAAGCACUGAUUCGAAAAGUCUCGAGGACCUGGCUGCAUCUCACAAGAAACUAUAAAAUCUCAAAUCUCAUGCCAUUUUUCCAAAAUUGCUCUCUUAAGAAAAGCAAACCCACAAAUUAAAGACUCAAAUGUAAACAUAAUCAAAAAAGCAUCUAUCAAGGCAUAUUAAGAGCUAGAGCAAACGAACAAAAACACCAUUAAAGAGAACAAAACAACAGGGAGUAAUAGUUUCACAAGUAGAGCUUUUAAUUACAUCAAAAUCGAUUUCUAAAAUCAGAGAAUACGAAAACCCAAUUCGUAGAAAUCAAAAGGUGUCACCAAGAAAAUGGUAAUCACACACAAAAAAAAAGAAACCCUUACCAAUUUAAGGCAAGAAGGGAAAGUGAUUUUGCCGGAGUUAAGAGGCGAUCUAGCAAAAUCCAGAGUGAUUUCUCUCCAUUUCUUCGAAACGCAGGCGCAAGUGACUACAUCACGACGUUGAGGCCAACGGUCCUCAGUCUCCUCCACGCGGCGAAUGAUCUCGCCCAGCAACUCAGGGAGCAUCGCCGACCACGACGACCCAGCCAUGUCCGACGGCGGCGGGAUCGAAUCAGGUUCCGGUGCCGUCUCUCCCUGACGAUCCCUGAACGAGUUCGAGAUUCUCCGCGAAAGGAGGGACCGUGACAAAGGCAUUUGCGAAGAAGGAGAGAGAGAAGUUUUCGAUCUGGAAAUAGAGAGAGAGAGAAAGAGGAGAGAGAAAGGAUGAGAUGUGUUUUUUUGGGAAGUCUGGAGAGAAAAACUAAAUAAUUCGAACGUGCGAAAUCUAGAAGACGGAAGGAGUGAUAUUUUUGGUUAAAAUGACACAGCUGUGAUGUAUAAAUAUGUGACAGAUCUUUUAAUUAGGACACACGUCUCUCUCUCUGACAGUCUACAAGUACACUAAACCGGAUACGCUGACUAAACCGGAUACACCAUGUUAUUCACUGUGAAAUCUGUAUCACUUGAGAGACUUUGACUAAACCCAUGUCCGCCGUGAAAUCUGUCUCUUCAUUCAGGCUCGCCUCUCUCCUCCGCCGCGAGAAUGAUCCUUCCGCCGCCGUUAAGCUUUUCCGAAACCCUGAUCCUGAAUCAACGAACCCAAAAAGACCCUUUAGAUACUCUAUUCUUUGCUACGAUCUCAUCAUCACGAAACUUGGUGGCUCUAAGAUGUUUGACGAGCUAGAUCAGGUGCUUCUACAGCUCAAAACCGAUACUCGGGUCGUUCCAACGGAGAUUCUUUUUUGCAACGUGAUCAAUUUUUUCGGCCGUGGGAGAUUACCCAGUCGUGCGCUCCACAUGUUCGACGAAAUGCCUCAAUACCGUUGCAAACGUACUAUGAAAUCCGUGAACUCUCUGUUGAAUGUGCUUUCGAAGUGUGGAGAGUUCGACAAAAUGAGGGAGCUUCUUUCUGGUAUUGAUGAGUUUGGUAAGCCAGACGCUUGUACUUAUAAUAUACUGAUCCAUGGAUGUUCUCAGAGCGGGUGUUUUGAUGAUGCCUUGAAGCUAUUCGAUGAAAUGGUCAAGAAAAAGGUCAAGCCCACUGGUGUAACCUUUGGGACGCUGAUUCACGGGUUGUGCAAGAAUUCGAGGGUGAAGGAAGCAUUGAAGAUGAAGCAAGAUAUGUUGAAAGUGUAUGGAGUAUGUCCCACGGUUCACAUUUAUGCGUCGGUGAUCAAAGCGCUUUGUCAAAUUGGUGAAUUGAGUUUUGCGUUUCAGCUUAAGGAUGAGGCGUAUGAAGGAAAGAUCAAAGUAGACUCAGCUAUUUACUCUACGUUGAUUAGCUCAGUUAUAAAAGCUGGAAGGUCGAAUGAGGUGUCGAGUAUAUUGGAAGAAAUGAGUGAAAAAGGAUGCAAACCCGACACAGUGACUUACAAUGUACUGAUUCACGGGUUCUGUGUUGAGAAUGAUUCCGAAUCAGCUUAUCGAGUUUUGGAUGAUAUGGUAGAAAAAGGCUUGAAACCAGAUGUUAUAAGCUACAAUAUGAUACUUGGUGUCUUGUUUAGAAUCCAAAAAUGGGAAGAGGCAACUUACUUGUUUGAAGAUAUGCCCAGAAGAGGUUGCAGUCCUGAUACCUUAUCUUAUAGAAUAGUUUUCGAUGGGCUGUGCGAAGCUUUACAAUUCGAAGAAGCAGCGGUUGUCUUAGACGAAAUGCUAUUUAAAGGCUACAAGCCUCGCAGGGAUAGGCUAGAAAGGUAUCUGCAGCAGCUAUGUGAGAGUGGAAAGUUGGAGAUUCUGAGUAAAGUUAUCAGUAGCUUGCAUAAAGGAAAUGCUGAUGAUGCAGAUGUGUGGUCAGUUGUAAUACCUACAAUGUGCAAAGAACCUGUUAUAUCAGAUUCUAUUGAUUUCUUGUUGAACAGAGUAAAGGAAGUUGGUCCUUUAUCAGCAAUGCCGUAAUGCUAGGUCACUUGUCGUGCAAUUUAAUGUUGCUGUCUUGGUUUAGUAAUACAGGACAAGGAAAAAAUAGACGAUAGAAUUGCAAAGCUCUCUGGUAAUACAGGUGAAUAGUUACCACAUGGGCUCACUUCAAUUUAGAUAACGGAAGAAUGUGCUUAGUGCUCCUAAUUAAAGCUCUUACCUCUUCUCGGUAGCCUGCAAAGUGGUGGUGCAGAGGAUUUAUUCCAUUCACUGAACCAAGCAUUGAGGUAUGACUUCCCUUCUUGGAGUUGAUUGAAAAAAUAACAUAAUUUUACCAAUUGGUUAAGAAGGAAAACGUGGUUUUGGAGAUUUAUACUUUAUUGGAGGAGAGAGAUCAUGGAUACAUAGAUAACUAACUUCAUAGCCUGUACUGUUUUCCCUGUGUCGUUUGUAAUAAUAAUUUUUUUUUGUGUGGAGGGUAGCUGUGACGACUGUGAUGGUGGAGGCGGCAGUGGUAAUAGCGGUGUCGGCAAAGGUGGUGAUAAUGGUUGCAGAAAAAGUUAAUAACUGCUGUUACCUCCAGCAUGCGAAGGCUGGCUUGAGUGAAUAACUAUCAAAACACUUGCGAAGUAUACAAAUAGACCUUUUAUACAUAAAUCAUAAAGUAUAGAUAGACGAUUUAGAUUUGUAGACAUUGUGGCUAUAUAACGGUCUUGAGGAUUUUGAAAGUAUCUUUGGCAAACCUUCCUUUGUAAGUAUUAAAAGGUGUGUAUCCUGUUUUAACAUUCCGACCAUAACAAAAAUUUCAUGGCACCAGAGACAUGUAAUGAUAAUUUGGGUUACACUAUGUUCUUUCCACCACAAUCUCCUCCAAAAUAACAUUGGUUUUCUUUUUUUGGUUCACUAUACCAAUGUAAUUUUGGUUACUAUUUUUACUUUGAGAAAAGGUCAGCUAAUACACACAUUGAGUCUAACCUUGUAAGUUGUAUAAGAAGGAUGGAACUACAUUAUUGCAUAAUAACCAACUGUGACUAAACUUGUGAUAAAGUUUAUAACCCAAAAAAUGUAUUUAAACUUAUGAUAAAACAAACAAUGUAAUUAAGGAUAAUUUCGUCAUUUACACCUCCAAGAGCCCUAAAUUUGCUUCGACCAAGUUGUUGUUCUUCUUUUUAGUUUCAAAGGUCUAAAUUUUGGUUUUUUCUUCGGCAAUUCCGAUUCUUAAGUUUUGGUGAGAGCCUUUAUCAUUUUAUCUUCAGGCUCUUGUAUUUUAACUCAUCUUGGAAUCAGCUCUGUGUAUUAAAGUUUUGAUUUUUUUUCCUUCUCACAACAUAAAAUUUGGUUUUCAGAAAAUGAACCUUGGAGUGAAGAUGGUGCAGAAGAAGAUGGCUGUACUUUACCAUUAUCCUUGCCAUGACGGUGUUUUCGCCGCUUUAGCCGCUCAUCUCUACUUCUCAGCAAAUUCGAUCCCUUCACUGUUCUUCCCCAACACAGUCUACUCUCCAAUCACAAUCAGCCAACUUCCACUUCAAGAAAUCAGCCAUUGCUAUCUUCUUGAUUUCACUGGACCUCCUGGCUUCGUUCACCAGCUCUCUCCUGAAGUAGACAAUGUCGUGAUCCUCGAUCACCAUAAAACCGCUAUUGAGAGCUUAGGUGAUGUCUCUUCCACUUGCAAGAACGUUACUAGUGUUUUGGAUAUAGGGAGAAGUGGUGCCACCAUUGCGUUCGACUAUUUUACUCAGAAGCUGAUUGAAGAAUGCAGAGGAAGUUGCAAGGAGAUGAAUGAUUUCAAGAGAAUGAGACGUGUUUUCGAGUAUAUUGAAGACGCUGAUAUAUGGAAGUGGGAAUUACCAGAGAGCAAAGCAUUCAACAGUGGAAUCUUGGACUUGAAGAUCGAGUACGACUUCAAUCUGAACCAAUCGUUGUUUCAGCAGCUACUCUCAUUGGACCAUGAAACUGUGAUCAACAGAGGGAAACAGAGUUUGUCUAAGAAACAUAAACUGAUUCACGAGGCGUUGGAACAGUCGUAUGAGAUUGUUCUUGGAGGUGACGAAGGGUUUGGACGGUGUUUAGCUGUAAAUGCAGAUGAGAUUGCAGAGCUCAGAAGCGAAUUAGGGAAUCAACUGGCAGAGAAGAGUAAAAAUCUGAAAUUUCGAGGUAUUGGAGCUGUUGUUUACAGAGUUCCUGAGCUUGAGGAUGAGAACAAACUGAAAAUUAGUUUGAGGAGUGUUGCAGAAGAAGACACAACACCGGUUUCUCAGAGAUUUGGAGGUGGUGGUCAUAAGAACGCAAGCUCCUUCUUGUUAAGCUCCAUUGAGUUCGAGCAAUGGAAGGUGAAUAGAAACUCUUUCAAUACAUUAAGCUAGAGAUGUUGUAUGGAUUAACCAUUUAGCUUUUUAUGGAAUGCUUAUUUAAACCAGUGUGGUUUACGGUAUUGCCAAUUUGGUAACAGGAACCAUGUAAACUCAGAUUGACUUUGAAUCGGUUUAUAUGAUUUUUGUUUAAGUUUUGAUUCCAAUGGAUCUUUAAUUUUCAAAGUAAUCUUUGUGUCAGUUUGUUUUUUCCGCCUUUCCAAUUCAUUUGGAUUCAGGUUUAAAUUUUUCGAUUUCUAAGAAGUAUAACUAAUUGAAACCAAAUUAACAUUUAUUCGGCUUAGAUGGCAUUUGAAGGAUAACUUAGUUGAUAAGUUGUGAAUUGUGAUUAUCAUAUUGCUUGCAGCCUGCAGGGCACAUGGGAACAACACCAAGUUGAAAGUUCCACUAGACUCCACAAGCCAGAAUGGCAAAUUAGCUCCAUGUGGUUUUGAUUUAAGGUAAAUGAAUUACUCAUUAGCUCCACUAUGGGAAUUCAAUUAACCGACAGUGAUAGUUAGAUCAGCAAAGUCUUUAUAAUUGAUGCUUUUACAUGUACUGAUUCGAGGAAGUUAUGGGGACCUCAAAGGAGCUUUACUGUCCUGAUGCUGAGUUAAAGAAUAAGUUUUAAUAAAAUAUCUUCUACUUGAUUUGAAUGACAAAUCACAGGUGGCAGAAUCAUUUUUCAUAACUGAGUACAGUGGACUACCCUCAGCCAAUGGAUUGGUAGCUGGAUAAGGUUGACUUUGACAUUGAAAAAUUGGUCUCUCGUCUUUCAAAGAAGGCGCAACCGGUGGUCAAUCUUCGUUAUUGUAUUAGUAUCACAUAUACUGUAUAUAUAUAUUUUCUUUCUGCUUGUCUUGCUUUGAUCUGUCUUUUGUACUUUGUUGUAGUAUGGCUGAGGCAGUUGUAUCAUUUGGAGUUGAGAAGCUUUGGGAGCUUCUGACUCGAGAAUCUGCGCGAUUGAAUGGUAUAGAUGAGCAAGUUGAUGGACUAAAGCGUCAGCUGGGAAGGUUACAGUCGUUGUUGAAAGAUGCACACGAUAAGAAAAAUGAAAGUGAAAGGGUGAAAAACUUCUUGGAAGAUGUCAAGGACAUUGUUUUUGAUGCUGAUGAUAUAAUCGAAUCCUUUCUUCUUGAAGAACUUCGAGGAAAAGAUAAAGGGAUCAAGAAGCAUGCGAGAAGACUUGCUUGUUUUUUAGUAGAUCGCCGGAAAUUUGCUUCUGAUAUCGAAGGUAUAACUAAGAGGAUCUCUGAGGUGAUUGUGGGAAUGCAGAGUUUAGGGAUACAACAUAUUAUCAAUGGUGGUGGCCGUUCAUCGUCUCUGCAAGAAAGACAAAGGGAGAUCCGGCAGACAUUUUCUAACAACUCCGAAAGUGAUCUUGUGGGGUUGGAUCAGAGUGUUGAAGAAUUGGUUGAUCAUUUGGUGGAGAAUGAUAACAUUCAAGUGGUUUCUGUUUCUGGUAUGGGCGGUAUUGGUAAAACCACACUAGCUAGACAAGUGUUUCAUCAUGACAUUGUCCGACGCCAUUUUGAUGGAUUCUCAUGGGUGUGUAUUUCUCAACAGUUUACGCGGAGGGAUGUUUGGCAGAGGAUCUUGCAAGGUCUUAGACCAUAUGAUGAAGACAUUAUACGGAUGGAUGAAUCGACACUCCAAGGUGAACUCUUUGAAUUGUUGGAAACCGGUAGAUAUCUGCUUGUCCUCGAUGAUAUAUGGAAAGAAGAAGACUGGGACCGAAUAAAAGCUGUGUUUCCCCAUAAAAGAGGUGAGCUCUCAUUGUACAUACAUAAAGCACCAAUAAGGUUGGUAACACAUUGGUCAUAGAUGCCUUUUAUUCGCUAUAUUUUGCAGGUUGGAAGAUGUUACUUACUUCCCGCAAUGAAGGUAUUGGUUUACAUGCGGAUCCAACAUGUUUUGCCUUUAGACCAAGAAUCCUUACUUCGGAAGAAAGUUGGAAGCUAGUUGAGAGAAUUGUAUUCCCUAGGAGAGACGAAACUGGUACACUUUCAUAUAUAAAACUAGGACCAAAAAUCUUUGUGAAUUCUCUUAUGAAUCCUUUUAGACUGAGAAGUGUAGUAUAUAUUAUAUUCUCUUAAUUUUCAGGAUUCAGGGUUGAUGAAGCCAUGGGAAAAGAAAUGGUCACAUAUUGCGGAGGACUACCGUUAGCCAUUAAAGUGCUAGGAGGGUUGCUUGCUAAGAAACAUACAGUCCUCGAAUGGAAAAGAGUGUAUAGCAACAUUGGAACUCAGAUUGUAGGAAAAUCUGGUUUCAGUGAUUUGCCUAUGCAGUUAAAGCAUUGCUUCCUUUACUUGGCCCAUUUUCCUGAAGAUUACAGGAUCAAUAGGACAUUGUUCAACUACUGGGUUGCAGAAGGAAUAAUAAUGUCCUGUUACGAUGGAUCAAACAUUCAAGAUAGUGGAGAGAGCUACCUAGAUGAGCUAGUGAGGAGAAAUAUGGUUGUUUCUGAGGAAAGCCAUUUGAGUUCCAGAAUAGAGUAUUGUCAAAUGCAUGACAUGAUGAGAGAAGUAUGUUUAUCUAAAGCCAAAGAAGAGAACUUUCUUCAAGUUGUCAAAGUCCCUGCAGCUACCGUUACUACCACCAGUGCUCAAUCUCCGUGUAGCUCUCGCAGACUUGUGCUACAUAGUGGUAAUGCACUUACUAUGCUAGGACAUAAAUGCAAUAAAAAGGCUAGAUCUGUUUUGAUUUUUGGAGGUGACAAAAGCUUUUGGAACCCUUCAGGUUUUCAAUGUUUACCAUUGCUUAGAGUGUUGGAUCUUUCUUACGUACAGUUUGAAGGAGGGAAGUUACCAUCAAGCAUUGGAGAGCUCAUUCACUUGAGAUUUUUGAGUUUAUAUGAGGCUGGCGUAUCUCAUCUACCUUCUUCUCUACGGAAUCUAAAGCUUCUGCUCUGUUUGAACUUAGGUGUUGUUGAUCGGUUACAAGUUCAUGUGCCAAAUGUUUUGAAAGAGAUGCGAGAACUGAGGUACCUUUGCUUGCCUCGUUCAAUGCCUAAUAGAACCAAGUUGGAAUUGGGUGAUCUAGUGAACUUGGAGUCCUUGACGAAUUUCUCUACAAUACACAGUAGCGUGAUGGACCUACUCCGUUUGAAAAAGCUCAUGGUUCUCAGUGUGAUUUUCAGUGGCGGGUGUACCUUUGAAACUCUAUUGUCAUCUCUCGGUGAAUUGAGAAAUCUCGAAACGCUUAGUUUUUAUGAUUUCCAAAAAAUCAGUGUGGCUGACAAUGGGAGAGAACUCGUUCUAGAUUUUGUUCAUCUAAAGGAUUUAACCUUGUCCAUGCAUAUGCCAAGGUUUCCGGAUCAAUACCGAUUCCCUCCCCUUCUUGCACACAUAUGGCUAAUCGGAUGCCGCAUGGAGGAAGAUCCGAUGCCAAGUCUAGAAAAGCUACUUCAUUUGAAAUCGGUAUAUCUUUCAUCUGGUGCAUUUGUUGGAAGGAGAAUGGUGUGUUCCAAAGGCGGAUUUCCUCGGCUACUUGCUCUCAAAAUGUCGUAUAAAAAAGAGCUGGUAGAGUGGAGAGUAGAAGAAGGGUCGAUGCCAUGUCUUCGUACUUUGACUAUAGACAAUUGCAAAAAGUUGAAACACCUCCCGGAUGGGCUCAAAUUUAUAAGUUCCUUGAAGGAAUUGAAGAUAGAAAGAAUGAAGAGGGAGUGGACAGAGAGAUUGGUAAUAGGUGGGGAAGAUUACUACAAAGUCCAACACAUUCCCAGUGUUCAAUUUAUCAACUGUGGCCACUAAUGGGAAGUAGUAGCAGGUUAAGUUUAUUCAUGUUUUGUGCGCUUUGUUCAGUUUCUUUGUGGUUUUGUAUUCAAUUUCGAUUUGGAUAGACUAAAAUGACGUUUGUUCUUACGUUUGUACUAAGUUGUUGGCAAAUUGCUGACUUGUAACUUGUAAGUUGUAAUAUUUGGGAUACGAAAAUAUCGAUCCUUGUCCCUGACAUGAACCGAAUAAAACUUUUGGUUUAAAUAUGAACCGAAGCUGUUUUGGUAUUGCUGAUUAAUGGGAUGGUUAAGUAAUUGGGCCUAAUCUAGGACCGUAGCAUUAUAAAAAGGUCAGGUUGCAUUAAUUUUAGUCAUAAGCUCUGUAACGUGAUAAUAGGGUUUGAAACAGCUGCCAUGAGAAUACAAGAAAAUCAUCGGGAGCAGCAGUUCUCGAUCACACAAUCUUCAAACUCAGUAAGGGAAUACUCAGACCCAAUCCCAGUUGAUGUUCUUAUUGAUAUAUUCUCUAGAGUCUCUGCAACGUCUCUAGCUAGGUUUCGUUGCGUAUCCAAAUUGUGGGAAUCCAUAAUUUGCAGUCAUGAUUUUACGGAGCUUUUCCUGACUAAGUCUUUAGCUCGUCCACGUCUCUUGUUUAUCUUCGAAGCUAAUAAAGAGUUAUGCGUUUUCUCUUCGCCUCAACCUCAAAACCCACAUGAAAUCUCUACUCUUAUAGCCACCCCUUAUAAGUGUUUUCCCAAAUAUUUAUCAUAUGAAUCCACUCAUGAUAUUAGUGCUAAAGUACUCUGUGGAUUGGUCCUCCUACAUGAUUGGAAAAUAAAAGCGCGGGUGAUUUGUAACCUCGCCACGGGGGAGUCCAUAACCUUACCCACUGUGAAAGCGACGGGUGUUGGAAAAAACUUUUUUGGCUUUGAUCCUAUCAGCAAACAGUUCAAAGUGUUGUGUAUGACUUGGUCACGUUUUGGAACACCCAACACUCAUCAGAUUUUGACAUUGGAAACUGGAAAAGUACUUUUAUGGAGGACGAUCCAAGACGUAGUACGUCCCUAUGAUCAUAAGUAUGGUGGAAUAUGCAUAAAUGGCGUUUUGUACUACGGAGCUUAUUUUUCAGAUGAAUGUUUUAUGAUAGUCUGCUUCGACUUUAAGCUUGAGAAAUUCAGCUUUAUUGAGUUAGAUAGAGACAUGGACCCUAAUAAUCAGGAGUUAACUUUGUUCAACUACAAAGGUAAAUUAGGUGCACAUCAAUAUAUUGAAUCGAUUUGUAAAAAGAAUUUGAAGUUGUGGGUUCUAGAAGAUGGUGAGAAACAUAUAUGGUCCAAACGUAUAUGCAUACUGCCAUCCGCACUCUACAAUAAAAAGUUUGUUGGAAUGACUAGUACCGGAGAGGUUGUGUUUUCGCAUUUCAUGUGCGUUAAAUCAAACCCUUUCUGCAUAUUCUUCUACAAUAUCGAGAGGCAAGCUUAUAAAAGAGUCCUUAUUAAGGGAUUUGAAGAGUUUGAGGAUGAGUUUACUUCCGUUCAUACCAUUCUGGACUUUGUAGAGAAUAUGAAACUAAUCUAAUUGACUGUUUUUAAGGCUUUAUAUUUUGAAUUUCAACUAGCUCUAAUGAUUUUUUUCCUCUUAAAGUUGUUUGGAUUCUUUUAAUCUUAAAAAAUAGAACUAAGAUAGUCCUACUAUAUAUAUAUAUAAUUUUUUUUCAGUGAGCUUAUUAAGUCUUUUUUAGAUUUCAACUCUUGUGUUUAGAGCAUUGUGUAUGUAUAGUUAACCCCUUUCAACUAUGUAUAGAUUUUACGAAAUCCCGACUCAUUCAUCAACAUCUUCUCUUGAUCGCUUUUGAAGUAUAUAUAGUAGUAGUGGAGCUAACUAAGUGUUGUUGUGUGUAUCGAAGCUCUUCAGGCCAAACAUUUUUUGUUGCAAGAGUUAUUUAUUAGGUUUUGAAAUCAUAUGAAUCAAUUUCCACGACAAUUCGUUCCUCUCAGAUUUUGUUUUUUCAUAUUUUGAAGUCGAGUUAUUUAUCAUCGAACUCGUGCAUAUAUAUUUCAUGAAAGAAGCUCAAUAUAUUGUGGAGGAUGACUCUUGCUAUCUUUGUGAAAUAUAUUUCGAAACAAGGCAUCAUCUUUUCUUGAGAUGUCCAUAUAGUUAUGACUUGUGGCGAUGGUGCUUUGCAAAGUUGCAUCUGCCUUUCACAGGUUUCAGAACUUGGGAUAAUUUCCUUCUUUGGCUGAAAUCCCCUACUAAUGAAGUGAAGUUGGGUACGUUAAAGCUUUUAGCAGCUCAGACUGUGAUAUACUCUCUGUGGCAUGAGAGGAAUGCACGUUUGUACACCGGAACCCGCACCCCUGUUGAAAGACUUUCUCUCCAGCUUGAUAAGCGUAUUCGUAACAUUUGCUCGGCAAGGAACAGCAUCCCAAAGCUCCAAGGCCUGCUUCAGCUGUGGUUUCGUAAUUCUUCUCCUUUUUCUACUUCCUAAUUAUUAUGAUUAUGUAUUAUUUUUUGUACCGGGUUUGUUCAUCCCGGAGUUCAUAGUUGCUAUGGCACCUCUACUAUAUCAAUGUAAUCGGUAUCGAUAUCUUAAUAUAACAACAGAAAUUUUAAGAAAAAAACAAAAUGAAAGAAGCUCAAAUAUUUGUGGUAGAUAUAUAUAACCAUGUCAACUAGUGACCUAGACCCAUCCGAUAUGAAACAGCUCAUUCAUUAAACUAAUAGACGCUGUAAAAAUGAUGAAAGAAAAGAAAAAGGAGCUUUUCCAACAAAGCAUUGAAGCCAAUAUUUUUGUAAGAUUGUAUAUUUCAGUCUUUUAAAGUUGUAAGUUGUAACUGUCUAAUAUAACGAAUACAAUGUACAUUCAAUAAGUAGUUUCUGGCUAGCUAUAUACCAUAUUUCAUUCUCCAUGUAAGUAUAUUUAAAGACUCUAGCUAGAGUUCAAACAAAUCUGCAAUAUAGUCUCCAACAAUCUCUUGAUGCAGCACACCACAAAUCUUCCAACUCCUACCUCAUCAUCACCUAUACAAUGUACUCUUGUGAUCCCCGUUGAAGGCUAUAGCCUAAGCGUCAUUUGCGGAUCAGAGUUCUGCAUGCCAUCCAGUUUUUUCACCAUAUUUAGUCUCCCCAUCAAGUCCUUUUUUUUUUUUAAGGUGAGACUUUUUUUUUUUUUUCUGUUUUAUGAGCUUUGUUCAAUUUCUUUGUGCUUUUACUUUGUAUUCAAUUUUUGAUUUGGAUAGAAAUGACGUUUGUUCUUACUUUGAUUUUUUUUUUAAAACAUUAAGUUGUAGUUUUACAAUCCACUGAUCCUUUUCAACUAAGCAAUUAUGGUCUUGUGAAAGAUUUAUAUGUCAUGUAAGACGUGUUUGGACAAAAGAAGUGACUCAUUAAAGGGCAAAUUAUCUACUUGUAAUCAUUUGGGAUACGAAAAAUAUCAGCCCUGACUUGAAAACUCUCUCUUACGCUUACAUAACCCGAAGAAACAAAACUUGUGAACGGAAUGAAGAAACAAAUCAAAGCUUCGAAUCUUUUGGUUUAAAUAGUAUAUUGUAUUGCUGAUGGAUACGGGAAGACAUUGACGGACAAAAAAAGAAAAAGAAAAAGGAGAUUAAGUAACUGGGCCUAAAAGAGCCCAUCUAGGAUCGGAAUAUUUAUAAAGGUCAGUUGCAUCUUCGUAAUUCGUACUACGCUUUGUAACAGUGAUAUUUAAUAGGGUUUGAAACAGCUGCCAUGAAAAAUCAUAAGCGCUGUCGAAGGAAAAAACAAAAAAAGCAGCAGUUCUCAGAUAAUCUAUUGAUCCCAACACAAUCUUCAAGUUCGGUAAGAGAAUACUCAAACCCAAUCCCAGUUGAUGUUCUUGUCGAUAUAUUCUCCAGAGUCUCUGCAAGGUCUAUAGCUAGGUUUAGCUGCGUAUCCAAAUUAUGGGAAUCCAUAUUUGACCGUCCUUAUUUUACGGAGCUUUUCCUGACUAAGUCCUUCGCUCGUCCACGGCUCUUGUUUACUUUCAAGGCUAAAAAAGAGUUAUGCGUUUUGUCUUCGCCUCAACCUCAAAACCCACAUGAAAACUCUACUCUUGUAGCCACCCUUUAUAAGUGUUAUCCCAAAUAUCUUCCAUUCAGUAGCUCGCACCAUGGAUUGGUCUACCUACGACAUUGGCAAAGAAAAGUGCGGAUGAUUUUUAACCCCGUCACGGGUGAGUCCAUAACCUUACCCAGUGUGAAAGGGACGGUUGAUGGAGAUUGCUUUUUUGGCUAUGAUCCGAUCAGCAGACAAUACAAAGUGUUGUGUAUGACUAGGUCGCGUUCUAGAACACCCAACACUCAUCAGAUUUUGACAUUGGAGACUGGGAAUCUUUUGUGGAAGACGAUCCAAGACCCAGGACUUCCCCAUUAUCCUAUGUAUGGUAGAAUAUGCAUAAAUGGCGUUUUGUAUUACACAGCUUAUUUUUCAGGUGGAUCUUUUGAGAUAGUUUGCUUCGACUUUAGGUUUGAGAAAUUCAGCGUUGUUAAAUUAGAUAUAGACAUGGACCCUAAUAAUCGGAACUUAACUUUGUUCAAUUACAAAGGUAAAUUAGGCGCACAUCAAUAUAUCGAAUCGGUUUGUAAAGAGAAUUUGAAGUUGUGGGUUCUAGAAGAUAGUGGGAAACAUGUAUGGUCCAAACGUGUAUUCAUACUGCCAUCCAUAGUCUACGAGAACAAGUUUGUGGGAAUGACGGGUACCGGAGAGAUUGUGUUUUCGCCGGACGCGUACUAUCUAUCAAAACCUUUCUACAUUUUCUUUUACAAUAUUGAGAGGCAGACUUAUACAAGAGUCCGUAUUCAUGGAUUUGAAGAGUUUAUGGAUCAUUCUACUUUUGUUCAGACCAGUAUAGACUUCGUAGAGGAUAUGAAGUUUAUCUAAGUGUGUUCAAAGCUUUAUAUUUUGGUCUUCAACUAACUCUAGCUAGUGAUAUUGUUUCUCUUAAAAUUGUUUGGAUUUUUGUUAUUUAAAAAAAACCGAGCUAAUAAAUUGUUUGGAUUUUUGUUAUUUUGAUAUAAAUGUUGCAUUUGCAAGGAAUUCUUAUAUUUUUAUAUGAUAAAACAGUACAUUUCUGAAUAGUUAUAUUAAUCAUCUUGUGCACAUAGUAGAUUCUUGGGAAAAGAAACUGCUCUGUUGGAAAAGGCAAAGUACGUGCUCACAUAUAUGUUCUAAAUACAACCAUAGAUGUCACCUAGACCCAUCCAUGCAUGGCUGAGAGAGUAGUAUCUAAGCUAAUGCUAGAUUUGAAACAGCUCAUUCAUUAACUAAUAUUAGAGGUUGUGAAAAUGAUGAAGAUCAUGAUCAGACUAGUUUAUUCAUAUUCAAAUCACCACCAAAUAACGUUAAAGUGAAAAAGAAAUAGAAAAGAAGCUUUUCCGACAAAACACGAAGCCAAUAUUUUUUUUACAAAACACAAAGACAAAACACGAAGGACAAUCGUUCCCCUACUAUUCACAUUUCUCUCUCUAGAAAGUUUUCCAGAUUCAGAUCUAGUUUUUUAUUUUGGCACUGAUCUUCAUCGCAGGUCUGGGUUAUAAUACGAAGCAGUGUGGGGCAUGCUUUCUUCUCCGUUAUCGGAGUGGUGUGGUUUCCGACAAGCGUUGCAGUUGUGGCCCCUUCUCGGCGGAGGAGAGAUCCUGGUUCUGUUUCCUCCUGGUUUGAAGACGCCAUAGGAGAUGUCAGUGGAAUCUCUCGCGGCUCAACCGUCAAGUUGGAUGCUAUGACAGCGGCGGAAGACGCUUGCGGAUUGGUGGGUUUUCCGGUAAGUGUUUUGGUGGUUAACAGUAGUUCCUUUCAGGAUCUUAGACGGCUUGCACGGGUUCUGGUUGUUGAGGGGUUGUCUGAGCCUUCACCACUCUCUAGCCUCCGUGUUUUGCUUCCACCGGACCGGAUCUGAAGAUUGCUUUGCCUCGGGAAAUUUUUCUGGUUCACGACUUUGGAUGUCAAGGGCUUGGAUCUGAGUAUGUCGUUUUGCUAGGUAGGGGAUUCGAUAUUCAUGGGUUGCGGAGUGUCGGAGAAUUGAUCUAUUCCGGGAGGCUUGUGGCGGGACAGACUUGUUAUUGGUGAUGGUUCGGAGACGGGAUCCGAAUACUCCAGUGGAAGAACUUGAUCCGACGACAAAGUCACAAAGUUGUGGGCCUUGUAUUCGCCGGUACUAGUAGAUCUGAUUCUCUGCCUCUGUUUACUGCCCAGAUUCAACCUUGAUUUCUGCUGUCCGUUACCGGAAAAAUUUCUCCGUUUGUAACUGUUGAUGUUUUGUAAUUUCCAGGCCUAAGCCCAUUAGGGUUGGCUCAUUAAUAAAAAGGUUUAAAAAGAAAAGAAAAAAAAGAUUGUAUAUUUCAUCAGUCCUUUUGGUUACAUAGAUCCCGAACCCCACCACCAUAAUAUUUUGGGGUCAUAUUGAGAUGUUAGAUUCUCUCAGCACAGAUAAGCCAUAUAUUGUCCUCAUCACUAAACAUUGAAAAACAAAAAUACAAAACUAUAUAUCUAUAUCAAUAAAUGCUCAC